rnacentral:lncRNA from 1 species
UGCAAUUAGAUAAUUUGAUUCAAAAAGAGCCAAUAAGGCAUAAUAUUUCAUACAACAGCCAAGCAUAGUACAAUUCUGGUAUUCAGCUAUAAAAUACAACUAAAUAUACACAUAACUAGCUCCAAGCAUAACUAUCUCUAGUGAGCUAAAACGCAUUGCUGGGUGUGGUUUAUCUUCGGCAUUCUUCUUCCUAGAGCUCCUGUACACCCAACUUUGGAAGAAUGAAAGCCAACAUCUACAAAUAAUAAAUUAUGAAAAGUUAGAAACAUAAUCAAGUGAAUCCGUGAAUAUAAAAUUCUCAUAACAAUGAAAAUUUGCUGCAGAACUUUAGAUUUAACAGGAAACCAUGCAUAUAACAUUCCUAUUACAGCGAAAACUGAGAUAUAUUUCGCAAAUGAUCAAGUAACAUAUGGACAGUACAACAGGUCAGAGAGCAGCAAGACAUAAGCCGUAUGCAAAGCAGUCAAACAGUUCAGGGAACGGCAAAAAUGCUUGCAUGCAAUUGAAGUAUGUACUAGUACUAGUACAACACAAUGCCAGGUUGGAGCAAAUCAUGCUUAAGCAAACAAUGGCAGCGGCAUGGCAUAACCAAAUAAUAAUGUGAGAAAACAACUGGAUAUGAGUCGCACUUGAUCACAACAAAGAAUGUGCUAGUAGUGUGCACUCACCAAAGAAUGAAUGAAUCGACAUUGAUUUGCUACACUGCACCAUCCAAGGGGAGCUGACUUCUUCAAGGCAUCAGUUGUAUAUAGUAUAUGUGAAACAACAGAUUCAUAGUUAAAACUUAGUAGAAACAAGUGCAACACUUAGUAGAAACAAGCAUCAAUUCUAACAGGUAAAGCCCUUGGAACACACGUUGGGGAAGUAAUCUAUGGGAUGGAUUAUGAGAACUACCAGUUACUGCUUACUAAAGAGAUCUGCUGGCUACGGUAAUAACUAGUUUCACGGUUACGAUUAUAUACAUUCGAUUGCCAGCACAGCUAAAGGUAUAGCUUUUGAGUUAUUUCUGUCACUGAGACACUGACUAUCAACAGCCUAAAUCAAGCCAAUUGAUAACUGAUAUACAUAGGCACCACACUAUGAAUGAGAUAAUUUUGCAGAUGCAUAUGUUUACACUGUUCAAGUAUACUAUAUGCACCUGAAUGUAAUCAGGUGCAUAUGUUGCCAGACAAAGAUGGCAUCUGUAUAUACCUGGAAUCAAUCACAAGGUAUAGGGAGGGAAUUAGUCACAUAUAUUCUUACUAGUACUGCUAGGUUGCUAGCUAGCUGCAUGUAUCCAUGUAGUAAGCAGUCACAAGUCAGAACACACAUCUGAUGCCACCAUCUUAUCUUACACUUCAGGAACUAGUACAACAUGAUAGGAUGACAUGUGAUGCUACCAUCUUAUCUUAGAAGAAGAAAAACAACAACACAUCUAGCAAGAACGGAUUGACAAUCACCUAGUUGCCGAUCCAUGAUUUUAUAGUACGGUGCAAGAUAGCUGUCAUCAUUGAACAAUUCAAGAUUGAAGAAUUCAAAACAUCUGAAUUGCAGCAAAUUGUAAUUCUUAUUCUGCAUAACUCAUAAAUUGGGAUGCAUAGAAGCAUACUAUCAACUCUAUAGUCCUACUGAGAACCCACUACCAAGAGGGCCCAAGAACUACACAUAUUGGUGGUGCGGCCAAUAUGUACCUCAAGUACUUAUAGAUCCUGAUGAAAUAUCAUAGACAAUUAGUGAAGGUGAAUUCUUAGUUCUUAUCAUAUGCCCAUUCACAAGAAUGACUACUUGAGAGCGUAUUCAUACAUGGGAGGGAAGGAGGUUGGGACAUGUACAUCUCACCCCUGUUCUCUGCUGAUUUAGACCUCCACUUGUAAUAGUAAUCAAAUACUGAUCUAGUUGUGUGGUAGCACUAGAAUCUGCAAGAUUUUAAAAAGGUUUCGGCAGGAUGCAGUGAAGUUGUCAUAACACAAAAAUGAACAAUUCCUAAAUGUAGCAUGGAACAAGCAGUGACACACCCAGGCAUUCAUCAACCAACAUAUAUUACACAAGUGACACACCCAGGCAUUCAUCAAGCAACAUAUAUUACACAAGUGCAUACAGUACUCAACAUUCACUCAAAGUAUGUUGUGCAGGAUGGAACCAUUCCAUUUUUACCCAAAGUACUACACAAGUUAACUAAGCUUUUUUAGUUUCAGAAUAUGUGAGUCAGAAAAUAAGCUUGCAAACAAGUUUAUGUAAGUAAUGCACCCUGGAGUACAAUACUUCUAUGGUUUUAUGCAAAUAAUUCAUGAUUUUCUAACUACUCCAAGAUGUCCAGUUAAUUAACUGGAAAAGUAAGUAAACUUGCAAACUGAGAAAAUCUGGUCAGACCACUUGAAAUAUCUUCGGUGAGAGUAGAUGUUUAGAUAAAACACUUGCAAUAUCUACCGCAAGAACUUGUUUACUCCUGCAGAUUUGCUUGCAUGUUCAAAAUCUGGAAAUAUUCAGAAGCAUGUUCAGAAUACUUACUGAAAAUACUGUUAAAUGUUGACAAGUUAAAUCUUGUUCAAUCUUGUUAAAUACUCCCAGCAAAAUUACUCCACACAUGUACAGUUCAAUCAUGUUAAAUACUCUAAGCAAAAUUACUAGAGUACUGGGGUACUAGAAGUUAAAUGUAAUCCAAGCAAAUUGAGAAGUUAACAGUAUUGCUGCUAACUUGGAGUAGCUUUGACUAUGUACAGAGCAAGAUGGAGGGUCUAGCUUACUGCUGCUACUCCACAUAUCAAAUUUUACUUAACAGAGCAAGAUGGAGUAACCCAAAAAAUUAACAGAGCAAGAAAAUGUACUCGAAAUGGCAGUUCACCAGAGAUUUUCAAGUUAAAAAUACUCCCAGGGGUAAAUAACAAUGACAUGGACGGAGUAAAGGAUGGAUGUUUUAAAUUAAUCCAGUAAUUCUUUUUUGUUCUCAUAUUUUCACCCUCUAGACACUGCCUAGAGUGCUUACAAGAUGACAAAGUUAAUUUUGCAUAACACAUAUGGAUUCUUAUCUUCUUCAGUAAGGGAGGCACAUUUACAGCUAAUUAAGCACGAUGAAAGGGACCAUCCAAUUAAAUUACAUUUGUAUUAUCUUCUUCUUCUUCUUCUUCAAUAAGGGGGCACAUUUACAGCUAAUUAAGCACGAUGAGAAAUUAAUUAAUUAAGCAGGAUCAAGUUCAUCAUCCAAAACAGUGGAAGGAAGGGGAUGGGUUAGAAACGGAGGAGUCAUCUUCAGAUACUCUUGUGCGGCUGCUGCUCCUCUUCAGCAACCUUGGGUCACCUGGCACAAACAACAACCAGAGGAAGCAGGGAUCAGUUCAGGAAUUUCCUCGCAAUUAUCUGAACCAAAAAAGAUGGUUCCUCUGUUUUUGGAACAGAGAUGGAAGUAACAACAGGUUGUAGGGCGCUUUUAUUUUGGAUAUGCAAAAUUACUUUUGCUUGGAAGAUGCAUCGUUUUGUGUUGUUAAGAAUACGACUGACUAUAUCUGUUUAGUUUCUUCAUACAGUAAAAAUUGCUUUUGUAAAUUCUGCAGAGGACUGUACUGAACAGAAAAUAACUGGGAAACAUGACAAGUUCCCCCAAGGCGCAUCGGUGCAUGCAUACCUAGAGGCAGCCAGAGGUGAGGAGCCCCUCUGACACCUACUUAGUGAUGACCCAGACGGCGUAGAUGAUGCCAGGGAGGUAGCCGAAAAAGGUGAGCAGCAAGCAGAUUCAGAACUCGAUCUGGAAAAGCACGUUCAGCACCAGCAGUCAGUUAACCCAACUCUCGACGGAAUCACGCUCAGGAGAGAACCUACUGUGAAGUUUAAACAUGCAGCUAGCACGGGACCGGGACAAAGCUCGGGCAACUCACCCGGCAGGUGAACUUGAGGAAGACGCCGAGCGGCGGCAGGAUGAUGGCGAGGAUGAUGUCGAUGCAGUUGGCCAUCCCCUCGUCCGCCAUCUUCCUUCUCUCUCUCCAAGUGUCCAAGGGAAAUCAAAGGGAGGUGAUGUGAACAAGGAGGGCGAGACGGUUCUCCACCUCCUGGUCCACCACGCACAUCGGUCGUCCCCUUGCCAUUGUCGUUCCAUGAACACAAGGAAGGAAGGAUGGGGUGUCGGAUCUGCAGCACGCAAGCCACGCAUGAGAGGAGAUGGAAGAGUUGGCAAGAACGGCGUACGUACCUUGGGCGUCUAGGUCCCACCGGAGUUGCGUCGUUGUCAACGACCAGCACAGCAGCAAGCUCCGGUGUGGUGUGGUGUGCAGCGCCACACCGAUCCGGCCGGGCUCCAUCACGCAGGUGGAUCCCGAUGCGGCCGACCUCCAUCGCACAGGUGGGUGCGGGUCCGGCGCUGCCAUCGCCAGAACUGGUGCGCCCCAUCCAUCGCCAGAACUGGUGCGCCCCAUCCAUCGCCAGAACUGGUGGGCAUGGGUGGGUGGAUCCGUGGAAGAGGGGGUUUCCAUGGGUGGAUGGACGAGAUGAGGAGGGAGGUCGGUCGGCGGUGGGGUUGGGGAUGGGGGGGGCGGGGAGACGAGGUUGCCGAUGGGGGUGGGGAUCGACGGCGAUGGCGGAGAUUGGAGAAGAAUCGGGGGUUGGGGAAGAGGAGCAGUUUGUGGGCAGCUCCGCGGGGCUUCACUUGUGAGUCUGGGCAUGGGCUCGAUCUUGGGUCAGCCUCGACCUCGUCUACGGUGGGAAUCGAUCGAGGAAGAUCAACGAAAAAAAUAGCGCGCUACAAAAUAUAGCGAGCCCCUUCUCAAAAUGCUACACAAGUUAUAGCGGCGCUAAUAGCGUGCUAUAUUUCAAAAUAGCGUUUGCACAAAAUGCUAAAUAUAUCCACAAAUAAAGUAUUUCAGUACCUUAAGACACUAUCGUAGAUAGACAUAAUCUAGCCAAAUAGGAAGCACAAAUUUUAAACUGAAUGUCAAACUAUAGUCAAUCUAUUUAACAUAUAUUAACUCUCAACACUAAGCACCUAGCCUACAUCUACCGUGCAAUAACCACAAAAUAAACCAGUCCUUCCCUAUUUUUCUGAUAUUUUUCAUCAUUUGAACGCUAUAACGCUACACGCUACAACGUUAUAACGCCCUGUAGCGCGCUAAUUACGUGAAUAGCGCCAUAGCGGCUGAAUUUGCUAAAAUAUAGCGUUUCCUUCUGAAUACGCUAUAACGGCGCUAUAGCGUCGUUAUAGCGUGCUAUUUUUUUCGUUGAGGAAGAUAGAGAGUGCGGGUGGGAGACGGGAGGGACUGCGGGUGUCGAGAGGUGGGAGGAAGAGGGGAGGGGGAGCUCGAUCUGAGGGAGGGAGAUGGCGGUGGGAGGGAUCGAGGGGAGCGCCUGCUGUAACUUUGGANNNNNNNNNNCGCCGGUGCGUUGGAUCCGCGAGGGUGGGGGUCUCCGAGCGGUGAGAGUGUGUGGGGAACGCCGGAGGAGUGGGGUGGGGGCGGCGGCGCGUCGAGAUCCAGAGGGAGGGAGUGGGGUUGGGGGCGGCGGCGGCGGAUCCAGAAGGAGGAGUUGUGUGAGAGCGCUAGGGUUUGCUGCGCAGGGAGAGAGAGGAGUUGUGUGCGGUGUUUUUUUAGGGGUAGCUCGCGGUGGGUGGGUGAGAGGGUGAGGUGCAGGCCGUUGGAUCCAGGGGAUCCGGCGGUGAUUUAUCCAUGAUCCGCGUGAGAGGCCCUCGGACCAAUCAGAAUGUAGUAUACAUGUAUGAUAUUUUGACCAUUUAAAUUGGUCGUAAUCGACUAAAAGUAAUGUGCUAAAUCAUGUUAGCUAUUUUAUUAUGACCUGAAAAUUUGAAAAAAAAACUUCUCAUUGUGUCAGCAAAUUUGACUAUUGUUUUCAGGAAUAAUCACAAAUUGAAAUAAGAUAAAUAUUUUUUUAAAGAGUUAUGAACAAUGAGUUCUUUUAAAUAAUUUUUCCAUUUUUCGAGUGUCCGAAAUGAGUUUUUUUGUGAAGGACCUACCAAAUAUUUGUUGCAAAAUUAUACCAAAUCAAUUUUCUAAAAUACUAGGACAUAUUCAAUGCACAAUUGACCAAAUGGUUGGGUGUGAGAAGCUUUGAUCCACCUCUCGUGAAAAAGACAAACUUCCGUUGAUUCAGUAGGAAGCGGGUCAAAUUUGAACUGUAGCUGCCUUGUAGUUUGCUCUUUAAUUUUUCCAAAAAUCAUUUCUAGGUACAUAAGUAUCUAUUUAAUCAGAGAAACACCAAAAAAAUUCCAAGAUUCAACCACUAGCUAGGAAUGGUCAUUCCCGCCGUUUUGACCGCAUUUUGAAACGGGCAUAAAAAAUUCAAAAAAAAACAAAAAUUUGGGAAACCUUCGCAUGUGUCAUCAUAUGUGGCCAAGUUCCUAGGAAAAAUAACAAACUUGUAAUACGGCAAUUAUUUUAAAAAAGUGUUCUCAGAAACGAGCUAUCACGUGUGGAGAUCAAUGGCUUUCAAGCCAAAUGAUCAAUCUUAUGGCCACAUUCAUGGCAUAGUUUGUUCAAAUGAUCUCAUACUGUGCACAAGGGUGCAUAUUGGAAUGGCAAACAAUGUUGCCUAAGGAAGUUUUCAUUUUCUUUGGACGAAAAAACCAUUUUCCAUUUUUCGAGUGCCCAAAAGGAGGUUUUUUUGUGAAGGACCUCCCAAAUAAUUGUUGCAAAAUUGUACCAAAUCAUUUUUCUAAAAUACUAGUCCAUAUUUAAUGCACAAUUGACCAAAUAGUUGGGUGUAAAAAGUUUUGAUCCACCUCUCGUGAAAAAGACAAAUUUCCGCCGAUUCAGUAGGAAGCGGGUCAAAUUUGAUCUGUAGCUGCCUUGUAGUUUGCUAUUUAUUUUUUCCAAAAAUCAUUUCUAGGUACAUAAGUAUCUAUUUAAUCAGAGAAACACCAAAAAAAAUCCAAGAUUCAACCACUAGCUAGGAACGGUCAUUCCCGCCGUUUUGACCGCAUUUUGAAACGGCCAUAAAAAAUUCAAAAAAAUCAAAACAUUGGGAAACCUUCGCAUUGUGUCAUCAUAUGUGGCCAAGUUCCCAGGAAAAAUAACAAACUUGUAAUACGUCAAUUAUUUUAAAAAAGUGUUCUCAGAAACGAGCUAUCACGUGUGGAGAUCAAUGGCUUUCAAGCCAAAUGAUCAAUCUUAUGGCCACAUUCAUGGCAUAGUUUGUUCAAAUGAUCUCAUACUGUGCACAAGGGUGCAUAUUGGAAUGGCAAACAAUGUUGCCUAAGGAAGUUUUCAUUUUCUUUGGACGAAAAAACCAUUUUCCAUUUUUCGAGUGCCCAAAAGGAGGUUUUUUUGUGAAGGACCUCCCAAAUAAUUGUUGCAAAAUUGUACCAAAUCAUUUUUCUAAAAUACUAGUCCAUAUUUAAUGCACAAUUGACCAAAUAGUUGGGUGUAAAAAGUUUUGAUCCACCUCUCGUGAAAAAGACAAAUUUCCGCCGAUUCAGUAGGAAGCGGGUCAAAUUUGAUCUGUAGCUGCCUUGUAGUUUGCUAUUUAUUUUUUCCAAAAAUCAUUUCUAGGUACAUAAGUAUCUAUUUAAUCAGAGAAACACCAAAAAAAAUCCAAGAUUCAACCACUAGCUAGGAACGGUCAUUCCCGCCGUUUUGACCGCAUUUUGAAACGGCCAUAAAAAAUUCAAAAAAAUCAAAACAUUGGGAAACCUUCGCAUUGUGUCAUCAUAUGUGGCCAAGUUCCCAGGAAAAAUAACAAACUUGUAAUACGUCAAUUAUUUAAAAAAAAGUGUUCUCAGAAACGAGCUAUCACGUGUGGAGAUCAGUGGCUUUCAAGCCAAAUGAUCAAUCUUAUGGCCACAUUCAUAGCAUAGUUUGUUCAAAUGAUCUCAUAUUGUGCACAAGGGUGCAUAUUGGAAUGGCAAAUAAUGUUGCCUAAGGAAGUUUUCAUUUUCUUUGGACGAAAAAACCGUUUUUCAUUUUUCGAGUGCCCGAAAGAGGUUUUUUUGUGAAGGACCUCCCAAAUAAUUGUUGCAAAAUUGUACCAAAUCAUUUUUGUAAAAUACUAGGCCAUAUUUAAUGCACAAUUGACCAAAUGGUUGGGUGUGAGAAGCUUUGAUCCACCUCUCGUGAAAAAGACAAACUUCCAUCGAUUCAGUAGGAAGCGGGUCAAAUUUGAACUGUAGCUGCCUUCUAGUUUGCUCUUUAUUUUUUCCAAAAAUCAUUUCUAGUUACAUAAGGACCUAUUUAAUCAUAAAUACAUGGUUUGGUGGCGAUACGUCGAGGUUUGGGCGGUGGCCGAGGGCCCCAACUCUAGAGCGCGUAAACUCGCAUGCCCGCCGCAUGGUCACCGCGUGACCGUGGCGUUGCCAUGUGUUCUGGGCGGCCUAGGCAUGUCUAGUGGGUUGGGCACUCCCCAGGUAGGUGCUAGGAAGAAAAUUACAACAUAAGAUUCUCACGAGGAGACCGAUCGAUGCUCAUACAUGAAUUAGCAGCCAAGUGUUUGAUUAGCGGUACGGGAAAUGUACAUGGCUAAUGGGCGUGAGUUUUGGCUGAGGAUGAUCAGUUACUAAGAAGACCGUCUUCACAAAUUUUCAGCUCAAAAGGAGGAGCCUAGGUGGUACUUGCUUUGCAAAGUACCACACUGGACAUAAAUACCAAUGUUGAAGCUGGGCUCAAAAUAGUGAAUGGAUUGAGCUGGCAUUUGGUGGAGGAUGGUUAUUUGGGCAUAGGAAAGCACCGUAGAAAAUGGAUACUAUUUGGACAUGCCAAAGUGGUACUUCCUUCACAAAGUGUUGUUCUGAACAGAAUAGGAAAAUGAAUAUUGUUGAAUUACUUUUGAACUAGGCAAGGAAGGUUUUUUUACAUAUUUGACGAAGAUAUGGCCCAAAUAAUUUAUGAGAUAUUUUUGGGAAUUUUGGGAAUGACAGAAAUAUAGUUUGCUUCACAACCUGGGGCAAAAAUUGCCACAUGGACAUGACACAUAGGCAAAACUGAUGAGGUGGCGCCUAGUCAUAGUAACCCACCACAAUUUACAAGGUUAUGACCAUCUAUAUUGGUCGUGAUCAGCUAGAAAUAAGGCAGCGGACCAGUGCUAUCUGCUUUAUGACCAUUUCGUUUUAGGAAAUUACGACUUUUCUGACCAAAAUGGUCGUUAUAGUUUAGGGUUUGGAGCCCCCCGAACAGCUUUUGACCAAUUGGUCUGAAAUGGUCAUAGAUCUAUGACCAAUUCUUCCAGGGUCACUGACAGAAGGUCACUAGUUGACAUAUUUCUUGUAGUGCUGGCGCCGUUGCCGGGGAGUGAAGCGCCUUUGGUAAGUGGAAUUUGGUAAGGAAAAAUUUAUAUAGUGUGCUGAAAUUUACUGUCACUUGUUACUAUGGAAAGUAAUACUUUGAGGGGCUUGUUCGGGGUAUCUUCACCCCGACCAGUAGAGCAAAGAGUUGCUCCUCAACCUACUGAACCUACUGAAAAUGUUUACUUUGAAAUUCCUUCGGGUAUGAUAGAGAAACUGCUAGUUAAUCCUUUCACAAGUGAUGGAACAUUACAUCCCGAUUUGCACCUAAUCUAUGUGGAUGAAGUUUGUGGAUUAUUUAAGCUUGCAGGUAUGCCCGAGGAUGUUAUCAAGAAGAAGGUCUUCCCUUUAUCUUUGAAGGGAAAGGCAUUGACAUGGUUUAGGCUAUGUGAUGAUAUGGGAUCAUGGAACUACAACCGAUUGAAAUUGGAAUUUCAUCAGAAGUUUUAUCCUAUGCAUCUUGUUCAUCGUGAUCAUAAUUAUAUAUAUAAUUUUUGGCCUCGCGAAGGAGAAAACAUCGCUCAAGAUUGGGGGAGGCUUAACUCAAUGUUAUAUUCAUGCCCCAAUCAUGAGCUCUCAAGAUAAAUUAUUAUUCAAAAAAUUUAUGCUCGGCUUUCUCUCAAUAAUACUAGCUCUUUUAUGAUGAAGACUAUUGAAUUCAAAUGGGAUUUAUUGGAAAGAAUUAAACGCAACUCUGAAGAUUGGGAUCUCGACGAAGGUAAGGAGUCAGGUAUAACACCUAGUUUUGAUUGUGUCAAAUCUUUUAUGGAUACCGAUGUUUUCCGUGAAUUUAGCACCAAAUAUGGGCUUGACUCUGAGAUAGUAGCUUCUUUCUGUGAAUCCUUUGCUACUCAUGUUGAUCUCCCUAAGGAGAAGUGGUUUAAAUAUAAUCCUCCUGUUGAAAUAAAAGUAGUUGCACCUAUUAAAGUUGAAGAAAAGACUAUCACUUAUAAUGUUGAUCCUGUUGUUCCUACUGCUUAUAUUGAGAAACCGCAUUUCCCUGUUAGAAUAAAGGAUCAUGCUAAAGCUUCAACCGUGGUUCCUAAGAGUAACACUAGAACACGUACACCCCCUGAGCAAAUUAAAGUUGAACCUAGUAUUGCUAUGGUUAAAGAUCUCUUGGCCGAUAAUAUUGAUGGGCAUGUUAUUUACUUCUGUGAUGAAGCUGCUAGAAUUGCUAGACCUGAUACCAAAUAAACACAGACCUGUUGUAGGCAUGCCUGUUAUUUCUGUUAAAAUAGGAGAUCAUUGUUAUCAUGGCUUAUGUGAUAUGGGUGCUAGUGCAAGUGCAAUACCUCAUUCCUUAUACAAAGAAAUUAUGCAUGAUAUUGCACCUGCUGAGAUAGAAGAAAUUGAUGUUGCAAUUAAGCUUGCCAACAGAUAUACUAUUUCACCAGUUGGGAUUGUUAGUGAUGUUGAAGUCUUGUGUGGGAAGGUUAAAUAUCCUGCCGAUUUUCUUGUUCUUGGUUCCCCACAAGAUAAAUUUUGUCCCAUUAUAUUUGGUAGACCCUUCUUGAAUACUGUUAAUGCUAGGAUAGACUGCAAAAAGGAUGUUGUUACUAUUGGUUUGGGGGAUAUGGCUCAUGAGUUUAAUUUUGCUAAAUUUCGUAGACAACCCCAUGAUAAAGAAUUGCCUAGUAAAGAUGAAAUUAUUGUUCUUGCUUCUAUUGCCGUACCUCCUAAUGAUCCGUUGGAACAAUAUCUGCUCGACCAUGAAAAUGAUAUGUUUAUGAAUGAAAGAAGGGAAAUAGAUGAAGUAUUCUUUAAACAGGGGCCUAUUUUGAAACACAACUUGGCUAUUGAAAUCCUAGGGGAUCCUCCUCCACCCAAGGGUGAUCCCGUGUUUGAGCUUAAACCAUCACCUGAUACUAUCAAAUAUGCUUAUCUUGAUAAGAAAAAGAUAUAUCAUGUUAUUAUUAAUGCUAACCUUUCAGAGCAUGAAGAAAAGAGAUUAUUGAAAACUCUUAAGAAGCACCGUGCUAAUAUUGGAUAUACUCUUGAUGAUCUUAAGGGCAUUAGUCCCACUCUAUGCCAAUGCAAAAUAAAAUUGGAGAAAGACGCUAAACCGGUUGUUGAUCACCAACGACGGUUAAAUCCUAAGAUGACAGAAGUGGUAAGAAAAGAAAUACUAAAGCUUCUGGAGGCAGGUAUAAUUUAUCCCGUUGCUGAUAGUCAGUGGGUAAGUCCUGUCCAUUGUGUCCCUAAGAAGGGAGGCAUUACGGUUGUCCCUAAUGAUAAGGAUGAAUUGAUCCCACAAAGAAUUGUUACAGGUUAUAGAAUGGUAAUUGAUUUCCGCAAACUAAAUAAAGCUACUAAAAAGGAUCAUUACCCUUUACCUUUUAUUGAUCAAAUGCUAGAAAGAUUAUCCAAACAUACACAUUUUUGCUUUCUAGACGGUUAUUAUGGUUUCUCUCAAAUACCUGUGUCAAAAGAGGAUCAAGAAAAGACCACUUUUACUUUCCCUUUCGGUACCUUUGCUUAUAGACAUAUGCCUUUUGGUUUAUGCAAUGCACAUGCUACCUUUCAAAGAUGCAUGAUGGCUAUAUUCUCUGAUUUUUGUGAAAAGAUUGUUGAGGUUUUCAUGGAUGAUUUCUCCGUAUAUGGAACUUCUUUUGAUGAUUGCUUGAGCAACCUUGAUCAAGUUUUGCAGAGAUGUGAAGAAACUAAUCUUGUCUUGAAUUGGGAAAAGUGCCACUUUAUGGUUAAUGAAGGUAUUGUCUUGGGGCAUAAAAUUUCUGAAAGAGGUAUUGAAGUUGAUAAAGCUAAAGUUGAUGCUAUUGAAAAGAUGCCGUGUCCCAAGGACAUUAAAGGUAUAAGAAGUUUCCUUGGUCAUGCCGGUUUUUAUAGGAGGUUCAUUAAGGACUUCUCUAAAAUAUCUAGGCCUCUGACUAAUCUCUUACAAAAAGAUGUUCCUUUUGUCUUUGAUGAUGAUUGUGUAGUAGCAUUUGAAAUACUUAAGAAAGCCUUGAUUUCUGCACCUAUUGUUCAGCCACCUGAUUGGAAUUUACCCUUUGAAAUUAUGUGUGAUGCUAGUGAUUAUGCAGUAGGUGCUGUUCUAGGACAAAGAGUUGAUAAGAAAUUAAAUGUUAUCCAAUAUGCUAGUAAAACUCUAGACAGUGCCCAGAGAAAUUAUGCUACUACUGAAAAAGAAUUUUUAGCAGUUGUAUUUGCUUGUGACAAGUUCAGGCCUUACAUUGUUGAUUCUAAAGUAACUAUUCACACUGAUCAUGCUGCUAUUAAAUAUCUUAUGUAAAAGAAAGAUGCUAAACCUAGACUUAUUAGAUGGGUUCUCCUACUACAAGAAUUUGAUUUGCAUAUUAUUGAUAGGAAGGGAGCUGAGAACCCUGUAGCAGACAACUUAUCUAGGUUAGAGAAUGUUCUUGAUGACCCACUACCUAGAGACGAUAGCUUUCCGGAUGAACAAUUAGCUGUCAUAAAUGCUUCUCGUACUACUCCAUGGUAUGCUGAUUAUGCUAAUUACAUUGUUGCUGAAUUUAUACCACCUAGUUUCACAUACCAGCAAAAGAAAAAGUUCUUUUAUGAUUUAAGACAUUACUUCUGGGAUGACCCACACCUUUAUAUUGAAGGAGUAGAUGGUGUCAUUAGACGUUGUGUACCUGAGCAUGAACAGGAACAGAUCCUACGCAAGUGUCACUCCGAGGCUUAUGGAGGACACCACGCUGGAGAUAGAACUGCACAUAAGGUAUUGCAAUCCGGUUUUUAUUGGCCUACUCUCUUCAAAGAUGCCCGUAAUUUGUCUUGUCUUGUGAUGAAUGUCAAAGAAUUGGUAAUAUAAGUAGACGCCAAGAAAUGCCUAUGAACUAUUCACUUGUUAUUGAACCAUUUGAUGUUUGGGGCUUUGAUUAUAUGGGACCGUUUCCUUCCUCUAAUGGGUAUACACAUAUUUUAGUUGCUGAUGAUUACAUUACUAAGUGGGUAGAAGCUAUUCCAACUAGUAGUGCUGAUCAUAACACCUCUAUUAAGAUGCUUAAAGAAGUUUAUUUUCCGAGGUUUGGAGUCCCUAGAUAUUUAAUGAUUGAUGGUGGUUCACAUUUUAUUCUUGGUGCCUUUCGUAAAAUGCUUGCUAAGUAUGAUGCACUACAAAAAAAGACACAUCCGUGACAUUUUGGGCCGAACGAAAUUUUUUUCUGUCAUACAUAUGACACUUCUAUGACGAUAAUUGUGACAAAACCCGGUAUCAUCAUAGAUGUGGUGGGCUCCUACUUCUAUGACAAAAAAUCAUGACAUAAAAUGGGCUUUUCGUCCUGGGCGGGCCGGAGACACAGCUGCAUGACAUUCUUUGGGCCGUCCAUGACGGAAAAAACCAUGGUAGAAGCGAGGGGGAGGAAAAUUUCGGGGAGUUCCCGGUUACGGUGGGAGGUCGGGGGCCGAGCGAUGCGCAUUUCUCUCGUACACGUACGCGCGUGUGUGCGAGGUGUUGGCUCUAACUGAACCCGAGCGAGGCAUUGGGCUCUAACUGAACCCGAGCGAUUGCACUGUAGGCUACGCGUUACUGAACCCGAGCGAUCGAUCGAUGGCUGUUAACUGAACCCAAUCGAGCGAUUCCUUCGCUACUGCUGCUAACUGAAGCCGAUCGAUUGGAUGAACAGUGAGCGUUGCGCGCGGGGCGGGGNNNNNNNNNNNNNNNNNNNNNNNNNNNNNNNNNNNNNNNNNNNNNNNNNNNNNNNNNNNNNNNNNNNNNNNNNNNNNNNNNNNNNNNNNNNNNNNNNNNNNNNNNNNNNNNNNNNNNNNNNNNNNNNNNNNNNNNNNNNNNNNNNNNNNNNNNNNNNNNNNNNNNNNNNNNNNNNNNNNNNNNNNNNNNNNNNNNNNNNNNNNNNNNNNNNNNNNNNNNNNNNNNNNNNNNNNNNNNNNNNNNNNNNNNNNNNNNNNNNNNNNNNNNNNNNNNNNNNNNNNNNNNNNNNNNNNNNNNNNNNNNNNNNNNNNNNNNNNNNNNNNNNNNNNNNNNNNNNNNNNNNNNNNNNNNNNNNNNNNNNNNNNNNNNNNNNNNNNNNNNNNNNNNNNNNNNNNNNNNNNNNNNNNNNNNNNNNNNNNNNNNNNNNNNNNNNNNNNNNNNNNNNNNNNNNNNNNNNNNNNNNNNNNNNNNNNNNNNNNNNNNNNNNNNNNNNNNNNNNNNNNNNNNNNNNNNNNNNNNNNNNNNNNNNNNNNNNNNNNNNNNNNNNNNNNNNNNNNNNNNNNNNNNNNNNNNNNNNNNNNNNNNNNNNNNNNNNCCCCGUUUCGAUCGUAGGAGGUCCGUUUCGUCCGUUUUGCGGUACGCCACACCCCUCCCGAUCAAAAGGACCCCCGUUUCGACCGUAGGAGGUCCGUUUCCUCCGUUUUGCGGUACGCCACACCCCUCCCGAUCAACAGGACCACGUUCCGAACGUAGGAGGUCCGUUUCCUCCGUUUUGCGGUACGCCAGGCCUCGUUUCCAUCUCAUGUUCCAUCCAAGCCCUCCCGAUGAACACGACCACGCAUUCCGUUCCGACCCAGCCGGUUGGCUCCCACGCGUUCCGUUGCCUCCCGAUGAACACGAUGCAUUCCGUUGCCUCCCCAUGAACACGACGCAUUCCGUUGCCUCCCCAUGAACACGACGACGACGCUAUUUCUUCGUUCCGACCCAGCCAUGUACACGAGCCCUGGCCGUACUUAUGCGCAAGUAGGCAUUCGAGACCCCGCCCGUAUGUACACAUACAUGGCCGUAUUUUCUUUCUUGCACCCUGGCCGCUGUACGUACGUGUACAUGCUACGUGCACGCCUCUACUACGACAUGUGCGCGCCUCUACAUCCACCAGUAUAUAUGUACGUGCAUGUUCGCGACCAGAAUGACAACGCUACGUACGCUUCGACCAGGUGGGUCCCUGUCAAGCACUUCCUUGCGUGCGAAGAUGUAGCUGGUGGGUCCCAGCAGUCAGGGGGGAAACGUUUUUUUCGCGAAAUACGGUGGCCCGUCCGGUGGGUCCCCGCUGUCAGGUGGAGGAAUAAUUAUUGUGCACGUAAUAAGGAGGCACUUCCUUGCUGCGGCCGUGGACCCAGCUGUCAGCCUCUCCACGUACAGUCCACGUCCGAUGGAAGCCGUUCCUUGACCACGUUGACCACGCAGUGCCGAGAGCACCAGGGCGGUGGACGACGGCGAGGCCUAGGAAGGGGACGACGCGGAGCCGGGGAAGACGCGACAGUGGAUGCCCGCGCGUAGAGGAGUACGAGGGUUCACUAGUUCGCUGCGGUGUGAGGCUGCCGUCGCCGCAGAAUAACAGGAGGUGUGGGUGAGUAGAGGGAUGGCCUGGCCAGCGGUGGGAGUAAUAGGGGGCGGUGAGGCCUCCGCCGCAUCGCAGCUGGCCACGGGAGGCAGCAGCACAAGGCACGAUCGACGCUGGUUUGGGCGGCUGGAGCAAGAAGACCAGAGGUUGAAGAAGCACUACGGCUGUUGGAUGGACAUCGUACGGUCACUGGAGCUAGAAUCGUGCAUAUUGACUAAGUUGACAAAGCCCUCCGUCCCCGUCAACUUAAUAGGCCCACAAGUCAGCCUGCCAGUAUACUGGGUCCCAGCUAAUAGGGGGAGUAUUCAUUUUUUUGUGCGUAAUAAGGAGGCACUUCCUUGCGUGCGAAGAUAUAGCUGGUGGGUCUGAGGUGUCAGCGGCGGUAAUGUUUUUUUCGCGAAAUACAGAGGCCCUUUUGGUGGGUCCCUGAUGUCAGGUGGAGGAACCAUUAUUUUGCGCGUAAUAAGGAGGCAUUUCCUUGCGUGCGGCUGUGGACCCAGCUGUCGGCCUCUCCACGUACAGUCCACUUCAGAUGCAUGUCGGUCGUUGACCAUGUUGACCAGGCCGUGCCGAGAGCACCAGGGCGGUGGACGACGGCGAGGCCUAGGAAGGGAACGACACGGGGGCAGGGAAGACUCGGCAGUUGUUUCCCACGCGGAGGGGAGUAUGACUGUACGAGGGUUUACUGGUUCGUCUGCCGUUGCCGGAGAAUAACAAUAGGUGUGGGUGAGUAGAGGGAUGGCUAGGCCAGCAAUGGGAGUACGGUGGGGCGGUGAGGCCUGCGCGGCAGCAGAGCCGGCCGCGGGGAGGAGGGAGCAGGCAGUUCCGCCGGCGCUUGUUUGAGCGGCUGGAGCAGGAAGAGCAGAGAUUGAAGAAGCACGACGGCCGUUGGAUGGCCAUCCAACAGUCACUGCUUGUGCGUCAACCUUUUUCUUUAGGAAAGGCUCAAAUCUGUGGAAAACAACAUACAACCCAUUUGCCAUUAUUUCUAAUAAUUUACAGCCCAUUUGCUAAUUAUUAAGGUUUUUUUUGGAGCCCAUAUUCUUUUUGUUAGCAUUAUAGCCCAUAUUGUGGCCACGGUUAAAAAAUUAUACGAAAUUUUGCAUAUUUUGGUGCGGUCCGAACUGUUUUUAAUCCCGAAAUUUCGACUCACAUUCAAACUGAUUUUAAAAAUAAAUGUAUAUCAAUAUAAAAUCAAACAAAUUCUCCACGCAUAAAAAUUAAUGUAAUUCAAAAUCUCGAAAUGAAAAAAAGAUAUUUGAAACUAAUUGCCGGUUUGAUGUGUUUUAAAAAUGUACAUCCCAUUUCUCAUUAUUGAUGGGCCAUUUUCUCGGCCAGCCGAAUGAAAGCUCUCCUUGUCUUGAAAGAUUUGCAGCCCAACAGGCCUGACAAAGCGACUUACUUGGCAAAUCACAAAAAAAACUGGGCUGUGGCCGUGGACCCAGCUGUCAGCCUCUCCACGUACAGUACUCUUCCGAUGGAAUGCCGUUGACCACGUUGACCACGCCGCGCCAAGAGCACCAAGGCGGUGGACGACGGCGAGGCCUAGGAAGGGGACGACGCGGAGCCGGGGAAGACGCGGCAGUGGAUGCCCACGCGGAGAGGAGUACGAGGGUUCACUGGUUUGGCUGCGAUGUGAGGCUGCCGUCGCCGCAGGGCCUGGCUAGCGGUGGGAGUAGUACAGGCGAUGAGGCCUCAACGGCAGCACAGCCGGCCACUGGAGGCAGGAGCAGGCUGUCUCCCCGGCGCUGGUUUGGGCGGCUGGUGCAAGAAGAGCAGCGAUUGAAGAAGCGGCAGGACCGUUCGAUUCAAAUCCAACGGUUACUGCUGCUAGAAUCGUUUGUUGACUAAGUUGACAAGCCCGGCGUACGCGUCAACUUAGUAGGCCCACAGGUCAGCCUCCCAACCGGUGCGCCCCAGAUGUCAGUGGGAGGAAUCAUUUUUUUCGCGUAAUAAGGAGGCAGUUGAUUGCAUGCGGCCAGGCCAGCGGAGGGAGUAGGGUGGGCCGGCGAAGCCUGCGCGGCAUCACAGCGGGCCACAAGAGGAGGGAGCAAGCAGUCCCGCCGGCGCUAGUUUAGGCGGCUGGAGCAGGAAGAUCAGAGAUUGAAGAAGCACGUCGGCCGUUGGAUGGACAUCCAACAGUCACUGCUGCUAGAAUCGUGUGUUCACUGACAAAGCCUUGCGUAAACAAGUCAGCCUCGAAAUCUGUGGCGUGUACAGCCCAUUUGCUAUUAUUUAUAAUUUUUACUCAUUUUCUAAUACCUAUGGAAUUUAUUGCAGCCCGUUUUCCAUUUUUAGAAUUGCUGGCCAUUUUCUAGUCAGUACCAGGGUCAAAAAAUUAACUAAAUAUGUGGGAAAUUUUGAAAAUUCGCAAAUUUUUGCUGGGGAACGAAAUAUUCUUAAUCCAAAAAUUAAUAGCCAUACUAAAACAAAUUUAAAAAUAAAUUAGUACCAUGUCAUGUUAAAUCCAAUGAAAUCGUAUAAGAUAUCAGUGAAGAACAAAAACAAAAAAAGAAACUUAUAUCCCAUUUGCUAUAAUUUUUUUGGAAUUUUCAACCCCUUUUGAUAUUACUUUUAACAGACAUUGACCAUACUCUUAAGCCAGGCCGGAAUGCAUCCCUCCUCGUCUUGAAAGAUUUGCAGCCCAGUAAUUCAGAGAAAACAAAUAGGCCUAGCUUGGGUAUUCUUCAAAAAGAAAUACUGGGCUACCUAUUUUCCCAAAGAACUGGUGCAUGAGCAUUUAGCUUUAUUUAUUUAUUUAUUUAUUUGCUUAUUUAUGUUUAGGGGACCAUGAGCAUGUACCUGGGUCGGAUUCAUGUGAGAGCCUCCCUUCUAGUUAAUUAUGGGCUUCUCUAUUGGGCCUUCAUCAGUGGGCUGCAUGUUAUCAACAAGUGGAAAAUGUGUUCCGUAUGAAAAAUAGUAUGCGCUACGUACGGUACGGGGCACUAAAGGAUCGAACCGUGCAACGACUUCCAAAACAUUGUGUUUGUCAUUCUAACAACACAUUUAUUCAACCAACAGACGAAAUAUACUACUGAUUGUAUAUUGAAAACGGCAGUAGCAGCAACCAGGGCUGGGGGUGCAACAGAAGCAGUAAACAGGCCAGAAGAGUGAAGAUGCAGCUCUCUCUUCCAAACCAAACAUCAGCCAUCAUUACAAAAGGGCUACCAAAAAAGAACAAGUGUAUGCAUCAAACUAAAUAAAGAUCCUACUACACCAAGUGUACGCAUCUAACUAACUGGCUCAGUUAGACGUUACUAUUUAUUAAGCUGUGGAGAUUGGCUGACGGCUUGAACCAGAUGGGUGCCUGACGGGGGAAACUCCAGCCAGCAGGUUGAAGUCUGAUACUUGCGACCCUCUCUCCUACUUUGGGCUGCAGAGCGUGGCGGCACAUAUCAGGGUAUGGUGCAUGCAGAGACGCAUGGUACGCUGUGUACACACAGUUUUGCCUGAUGAACGAAACCGCACUGCCAUCAUGAUCCUUGCCAUCGGUUAUCACCUGGUUAAUUGGAUAAUUCAGUCUGACAAAUAGAGAGCGUGUACCAAGGCUACUUACCAGCCUCCAGUCAAAAAUUCCUGAAGGCCCAGAGAAGCUGGGAUCCUGCUCAAAGACCUUGCAGUGACUGUGAUUGUAUUCUGCGAAACAACACGUCCGGUACGUGCGAACGAUCAUCAAUCUUUCGCCGUCGUCUGAUCGAGCCAGGAACCACCUGCAACUGCCAUGCCGCUUUUCUUUGAAAGGUUCUGGGAUUAGGAAGGGUAGGGACACCAGGCGGCCUACAACAUCAUAUCAAGUUGGAGUCAAAUAAAAAAGGGCUCUUGAUUUUGUCAAUCUUAAGAACAGCAUGUUAUGAGCAUGAAUAUUUUUUCAGCAAAUGUUGACAGUAAUAUAAGCAAGCCAUCAUGAUAUCAUAGAAAAGUAACAUACUGCUGUAACAGCCGUUUGUAGCGAUGACUGGAGUAUGCCAGCAAUACGUCCAGCCAUAGAAGGAGUCGACAGCGUAAAUGAAGCCCUUGUGUUCAAUGGCAUCAGAGAACCAUGGAGGAUGUAUGAUCCUGCGAUGGACGUGCAGAUUUAUCAACUUACCGCAGUGACCUGUCAGAUAGGCGAGACCGCGGUUGAAGAACACAAUUAGCCUGAAGUCUUUAUAAUUCGCAGAUCUUGUGGGCACUUGGCAGAUUACAACCUUGAGCAAAUCAAACUUGGUAUCAUGUUGGCUACUGUAAGAUUCCGAGUAUUCUGGGCCGCGGUGCCAAAGCAGUGCAGUGUUAAUCGAAGGAAGGGAGAUCAAUCACCGGGUGUAGACCUCCACGAGCAUCCAGCUGCCGCGAUCGUCGACGAGCACCAUCCAAGACGUGUUCAUGCCGACCUAGUACAUACCGUUAAUGUAGUUGAGGCUGGCGGGGAUCAGAUCGCAGUCAAGGGGGUUGGUGCUCGCCACCCUACGAUCGUUAUGCUACGUGACACGCCGUUUCUGAAGAUCAGGCGGCAUCAGCAAGCAAGGAGCUGGCUUAAAAAGCUCCGGCCUAAGGGCUUUGAGUAAACGGUACAACCCCGACGAGCACGCGGCGAGCGGCAUGGUACUGAGAUUGUCCACACGCGAAACAAUGAGCUUGAUUACCUCUGUGGGGAGCGAAUUCCAGCUACUCUUUCGGCGGAUGCUGCUCGGUUCUGCCAUUGUUAGUGCUUGGGUUUCAGACGAGGGGGGAGGCGCCUUAGCGGGGAUGGAAGAUUGGACGAGAUUAUGUGCGGACAAAGAUGUAGAAGCGAAUAUGUGCUGCGGGAAGUGGACAGGUGAUGAUGACUACAGCACGCCGCUUGACUUACGAGACACAUACCAGAAGCGUAGGGUCAUGUCGAUGCCAGACAACUUGCUUGAGUGAUCACAGUACUGGUACUCCCUAUAGUGCUAUGCCCUAACUUGCUUGAGUAGAGUAGUAGAGUAGGACUCUGCUCUACUACUAGCACCGGAGGAGUAGUAUAUUCUAAUCUAAAAUAGUUACAAACUUCAAUGCCCGAGCGUGGAAUGACUACGAACCGUGCUCAAAGACCGUGUCUACGUGGUGUUUGGACAUGGGCGACAACCUCAACGCCAACGGUGCUGCUCUCGUUGCACCGUAUGUGUUUCUGUCCUUCCUGUUCGAAAUCGUGGUAGAAUUCAUGUUUCUACUCUGUAUCCUACUACUAUGCUAGUCCACAUGAUUAGUUUCAUCUCUGUUAUAGGCGUCAUGAUUUAUUUUGUGCUUAUUCGGAUUAAAUCUCGUAGUAACUUGCUCAUAUAUUAAACUGGCGCAACGUCCCCUACAGCCACUCCCGUUUCAUGGACGGCCUGGUCGAUGCCUCCAAGGAGCCCUUCAUCCACUGCUAUGAGUGCCCGAUGCCGUUUUGUGGCUCGCCGGUGGACAUGGUGCAUCACCUCACGGAUGCGUGCAGCGGUCACUGCUAGCCCUUGGCGGAGAACAUCAAGUACGAGACGUGCUACCCGUUCACCAUGCCAGAGUCGCUGGAGGAUCACCGCCGCCUGCUAGUCUCGGAGGAGGACUGCAGCGUCUUCCUCUUGAUCGUGGGCACCGGUGAGGCCCGUGCAGGCCGCCGCCCCAUCUCUGUAAUGUGCGUCAGCGGCACUGACACGAGGCCGAUGUAUGGGUGCAUGGUCAGUGUUACUACCCCUCCGGGUCGCGUGGGCGGCGACACCAGCCUCAUCGAACGGACUUGGACUCUCGGGAGCUGGGACUAUCCCGCCAAUGUGGACUUGGAAAACCCAUGGCAUCCUUUACCCGCCGACGCGGUGCACGGGGACUCCAAGGAGGUUCACCUGGACAUACACAUUAUCAAGUUAAAUGUUGAUCAUUAGUCUUCGCUCAAUGUAAUCCGCUGUCUAAGCAUGUGGAGACUUCCAUGCAGGAUCUUGCUCUAUUGGAGUAUCGCGCAUGAAUAAAAGUGUAUCCGUUUAUGGUUUAGUCUAGAAUCUUCCAUGUAUGAAUUUUUACUACAGUACUGGUGAAAGACUUACGAUGAACCAUUUCUUACAUCUCCUCUGCCCGCUUGCAAGUCAUCCUGAUUUAAUCCCUCCGUCUAGGUGUAUAAGGGCAUGGUUAAUAUUACUUAAUAGUAUAGCCAACUGUUGAGUAUAAGAAAGUGCCAUGUCAUCUAUAGCCAACAUGUAUAACAAUCGAUACUCAAAAACUAAUUCUUAAAGAUCAUUUCUUGCAAAGCACAAUAAGUGUUAUUUCUUCACAAGUUUUGGAUGCAGGUUGAACAGUUGAACGCUUUUGUUUGCAAAAGAUACCUUUUUUAUCUAUUUCACCCGGAUGUUUGUGAGCUCUAGAGAUGAAAUAAUAUCCAAAGAAACCUAUCGAUACCCAUUACACAUGAGAUGACCCCCACAUCCUUUGUCAAAAUAAACAACUCCCCGAUCAAUGCCUUUCACUCUUUGGUGCAACUAUAGAUUAGUACGACCAAAAAUUGAACUAACAUUAUAUAUAGUAUGAUAAAUGCUGAUGCAUGUCACCUAAAAUUAUAUCAUUCAAAACUAUGUUCAAAUACGAAUCCAACGAUAUAGUUUUUGUUGACAUGCACUAAGAUUUUGUUAGUUAAAUCUUCAGUCAAAUUUAAUGGGGGACUAAUAAACCACGACCGAUGUAGUACAAGUGUAGAGGGCGGCGCUGCACGGGAGUCUCACCUCUCACCCUGCUCGUGGCGCGGCAGUAAAGCCGUCAUAUCACAAAACCCAACCACUCCCAGUAAUAAGUGGCCUGGUAAAAUAAACGGACAAGCAACCAUCACAUCCCUCCGUCUUUUUUGCAUUUCAUCUCUCUGCAUUUACUUUCUCCGGUUCAUCUCGCACACUCGAUCCCUAGCUACUACUCCUAGGGUCAGUUCUUUUGGCGGCUUCCCCAGCUUUUCCCACAAGACUAGUCACAGUGGAGAGUAACAAUAAGGCGCCUCACUCAUUUAUUUGGGCUUCUAAACUACUACUCCGUCCUGGUUUAUUCCUCACCAUUGUAAUUUGUGCUAAAUUUUGACCAAAGAUUUAACUGGUUUAUUCCUCACCAUUGUAAUCUCUCCGUCUAGGUGUGUAAGUCAUCUUACGAAAACCAAAUAAUCCCAAAACACUUAGGCGCGGUGCAUUAACUUCUACCUCGUUUCUUGUUUCUUGACAUAUCAACCAAUAAGAGAUAAAGAGUGUGCAUGCUUUUAAUGACUUGAGAUAUCAAACACAACAUGCAGUGGUUAGUUCAUUGCAUGCAAUUCUAUUAAUUAGCAAAUAAACAUUAACGUUUCUCGUUUUCUCCUCCUCCUUGGUCACGGUGCACAGCCUAAGAUGACUUGCUCACCUAGACGGAUGGAGUAGUGCAUGUGACAUGCACUAACAUUUCAUUAGUUAAAUUUAUGAUCAAAAUUUGACACAGAUUACAAUGGGGACCAAUAAACUAGGACGGAGGUAGUAGUUAUGGGAUUACUAAUCUAGAAGCCUAAAAGAACUGGCCCCUGGUACUCCUACUAGUAGUAGUACUCAAGUUGGAAUUCCAAUUGCACGGCACAACUUGUUAGGCAAAAAAUUCGAUACAGGGUGUAGGAAGCAGUUUGGGAAUUUGCAUGCCUUUCCAACCAGUGAGAUACUUCGUACAAAGUAUGACAGAGAAAUAACCACAGAGAAGGAAGCUAAAAGUAAACAAUCAAACGAGCAUUUUUGCAUUUGUUUUGCAUUGAAUCGUUUCACAAGCUUGACUAGUGCUGUUUUUCUACUUUUACAAAAACCGCAUCGUAAUGUUAAAACGUGCAUUUGCACGUACAUAAGUAAUAGUAGUACUCCCUCCGUCUAGGUGUAUAAGUCUUCCCUCCUUCUUGGUCACGGUGCACAACCAAAGAUGACUUAUUGACCCUGGUGCGCGGCCGUUUCCCAGCGCGCCGACACAACGCCUCUUCCUCAGCCUCGCAACUCGCGAGGUGCUAAUUGGCGGCUUGCCGGCGGGCGAGCGCGAUCUCACCGGUGUGGUGAUCUGGCGCCAACAGGUACUCCUCCUCGCUGGAAGCGUGCACCAGGUCCACGUACCGCCAAGCAUAGAUGAGGCGCCUGGGCCCGACUGCACUCAGAGCGUCAGCACGGGCGUCCUCCGCCACCCUCACGGCCCUCGCACGAGCCUUCUGCCAAAGAGCCAAUUGCCUGACUCUCUCGGACGCGACAUAGGCCUCCCAGACAGCUUGUUCCGCGGUGCGCUUCUCUUCCUCGGCCUUCUUCUCCGCCUCUAUUUUGGCGUGCUCUGCUGGAGGCAAAGCCUCCCACAAGGCGACAUCCAUUUCUUUCCAAAGCUCCUCAAGGAUGGGGGGGCUCGGCGGGCGGCGCGGCGUUCUCCUGGUAGCGGGGAGCCGACGCGUCCUCCGGCGCGCGUGCUGGCGAGAUUGGGAACGCCGACGCGUCCACCUCGACGUGUCGCGGUGAGGAGCGGAACGCCGACGCGUCCUCCUCGACUAGUGGCGUCGAGGAAUGGAACGGCGACGCGUCGCGUCGCGGCGAGGAGUGGAACGGCGACGCGUCCUCCUCGACUAGUGGCGGCGAGGAACGGAACGGCGACGCGUCGCGUAGCGGCGAGGAGCGGAACACUGACGCGUCCUCCUCGACUAGUGGCGGCGAGGAACAGAACGGCGACGCGUGACCGUCCGCGCGGUGCAGCGAGGGGCUCCUAGGGCUUGGGAGGGGCGAUGCCAUGGUGGUCGACGUGAGAGGGAGGGGGAGGAGAUAGCGAUGAAUGUGAAUGUGAGGGGGAGGAGAUAGCGAUGUCGUGGGAGGAGCAGUAUUUAUAGCGAGCAAUGGCACACCUACGUAAGAUAUGGACUGAGCUGCACUGACUUAACUGCAGGUCCAGUUGCGUCACUGGCAUGUGGGCCAGACCCCUGUUGGGCCCAUAUGUUAGUGACCCAAUGCACCUGCAGUUAAGUAACAGCUACGUGGGCAUAUUUGUUGGAGUAAAUUACGGGGGAGCGAAGGGGUGGAAAUAUUGCUGGUCACAACGGAUUGGAUGAGCGUGGGGUGAGGAGAGUCAUGCAUGCAGAUUUUUUUCACACAGGGUGGAGUGGUGGGACCGCCGGAGGGAGAAGGAGAGUUUGGCAGGCAUAUUGUUUCCACACAUGGAGAUGAAAAGAUUUGGAGACGAACAGGCAUCCUGCAGGUAUGGGGAAUGGUGCAUAAUAAGUCAUCUUGCAUGCCGGGCUAGGUAUAGUCUCAAGUCAUUAAAAACAUACACGCCCCACACAUGUUCAUAUUUCAAGGUGCACUAAAUUAUUGCAUGCGAUGAUUAAGGCUGUCCAUAAUGGUGGUAUCUUAGCUGGUAUCAUGCACACAGGAAUAGUAAACAUGCUGAUGUGGCAAAGAAUUAAAGAAGAGAGGGGGGUUAGAGUAACUAGUGUUCAUGCAUGCAUUGGUAAACACAUUUUUUUUGUGAAGAACGACAACACUAGUUGAGUACUUUUGUAGACUUCAAAAACUAUUCCACCGCCUCUACUAUCUUGCUAAGAGUGGGUGAAAAUUUUGAAUCGAGCCCUUUAAACUAGAAGGGAGGUAGUGGUACUCUAAGGCUGGUCAUAGGGGGGAGUAACUUAGACUAGUAACAUGCAUAUGUUACUAGUCUAUGUUACUACCUCUAUAGUGCAUAGUAUCAUAGAUUAGUAUCAUAGGUGGUCUCAUUUAUUGCCAUGCAUGACACAUAGUAGCACCACAUUUAUUAUGUUACGGUAUCUACCUAUGUUACUAUAACCAUCUCUCUCUUCUUUAAUUGCCUACCACAUUAGCAUGUUUGCGAGUCCCAAGUGCAUGAUACUACUUAUGUUACCCCCACUAUGGCCAGCCUAAUAGCUAACCUUGUUGUGAUGACAAGAUAGGACAUGGCACGCACCUGGACGGAGGAACUAGUCUGCAUUGUGCAUUUAAGUUUUGUCUGAAGUUAAUGUACCUCUACUUUCACCAGACUUAUAGAAAAAUGUGUCAACAUUCACAAUGUCAAAUCAAUAUUUUUACACUCAUUAUAAAACGUAGUUCUUAUACUCAUUAUAAUCAGUAUUGUAGAUAUUGAUAUUUUUAGUAUAAAUUUGGUCGUGGGAUUUCAUUGAUGCCUGUCAAAGCGUGGAGGAAGCGGAGCUUAGGGCUUGCAUUGCCGGUCUCUACAUAGGUAUUUCUCUUCGUAAUCCUAUAAUUUUAGAGACCGAUUGCGCUUUUUUGGUAGCAUCUCUUGCAUCGUGGGACUAUGACAAGUCUGCUAUGCGUGACCUGAAGAUGAAAGCGUUGAGCAUCUCGAAGUUGAUCAACAAUCUUCAAUUGUCAAAGAUUAGCCGUUCGGCCAAUAAGGUGGCACACUUAAUCGCUAAGUAUAGCUUUGACAAUUAGAUGGUAUUCUUGUAAAUAACGUACCGCCGUGUGUUGUGAAUAUUGUAUCGAAUGAGUGUACUGGUGUGGCUGGUUAAUUAAUAUAAGGUGGUGUUCAAAAAAGUAUAAAUUUGGUCAAACACUUUGCAAACAGUUGACAGGAGUAAAAAGGACCAGAGGGAGUAUCAUGCAUGUGGAGUAGGCAAAAAAAUUGCUUGUCUAAAAAAAGGCAAAAAAAUUGCUCAUUUAUAGCCAGUCGAAGUCUCAAAGGGCGCGACCGUGCGAGAGAGGCGAAGGUCGUGGGAGGCGCGACGUUUGACGGAAUUAAGUGAAGUUACAUCCACGCGCCGGCAUGGCGUGCGAACAGGCAGAAGCUAUACCGUCAGGUCUACGAUAUGGGUCUAGUAGACAUGACAUCUAGUGGGUCCCGCAUAGUUCUCGAGAACUCUUUGGGGGCUUGCAGCCGUUUAUCCACCGGGCAAGCCAGCAACCCCACGCCGUUCGCACGCCCUACUCAUCCCCGUCUUGUACCUUACAAUAGUUCGCUCCCAGUCGUCCCGUCCUUUCACAUUAGUUCGCUCCCAGUUUUUUUUGCGGGGUACAACAGCUCAACUUCUCCUAACCCUCCUCCAAAAUCCAUGGCCUCCCAAAUCUCCAUGGUCGCCGCUGAGUACCAGGUUAGAGCCAUCACCGGCGAUCAGUUCAUCGUCAUCUACACACGUGGAUCCGAGACGGUGAAAGCAUGGCUUGCUCGCUUCCUACGCAUGUUCAACAGUUCAACGGAUGAGUGGGUCGCUGGGCUAGAUGUUGAGUACACCAUAGUCCUGGGACGAGAGAAGGAUCUAAAGGACGAAGAGAGGAAGAAGCCCGCCGUGAUCCAGGUUUGCAUACAUAACGUUUGCUUGGUCUACCACAUAUGCCAUGCCGACGUUGAGUGCCAGGAUUUUAAGAACUUCCUCAAGGACAAAAGAGUGAAAUUCGUUACUGUAGGCUUUAAGAACGACAGGGAUGUCCUGCGUCGGAUAGGUCUCGUUGUAGGCCAGCCCUUCGAUCUCCAGAAGGCAAGCCUGGUGACCUCCUCUCAACCUUCAAUGCUGACCCUGGCAGCAGCCAUGAUUGAUCCUUCGUACGCUAAACUGAAGAAACCUCAUCACGAGUUUCAUCAUUCUUGGGAGUCGAAGACAUUAGAUGAAGAUCACAUCCUGUAUGCAUCAAUGGAUGCCUAGCUUUGUUUAAAUAUCUACAAGGGUUGGAUGAAGAAGCAGAGCCCAGUGUCCGGUGCAUGCAAAGAAGCGUCGGCGAAGAGGAAGAGGAAGAGGGACGAGGACGAAGUCGAGGACGUGGACUCGGACUCCGAGUAGGUGGCAGUGCCGUCGCUCAUGCUGGUUCUACUGCAGUGUCAAGCGGACUAGUUGCUUAGUUUAUUUUCAAGGGUGUGUUGUGCUGAGGCCCCAAUAGAACUAUGUUUAUGUUCUUUCUCGUUAUUUGAACUCUUUAGUACGUACAGUAGUACUAGUACUAUGUCUUACUACUGUUCUUCUUGCAGUUGGUACUACUGCUCGUAUCUUCGUGUUCCUACUAUACUUAAUACAUUCGUACUAGUAGUAUAAUUUGGGUCAGUCGAUUUGUGAAAGAAGUUCGACGGAGCAAAGGAAGAAGACGGCAGAAGAGGUGGAAGAAGCCCUUCUAGCCAUCCAUGUUGCAUCAAACGGCUCACAUGAGUGGACUGACCCAAAUUGCUCCUUCAGAUUGCAGGAUCCACGUGGCAUUCAAGGUCUCGAAGGUAGAUUCCGCGUCCGCACCCGGUUUGCGGGCUCGCCGCGCGCGCGACCGGCUUCCGCCACGACAGCCACCAUGCGUGCCUCCUCCGCGCGGGCGGAGACGACAAUGACACGCUAUUCCUCCUCGCCGGCGUGCUGGAGCAUGCGCUCGUCCUCCUCUUCGUAUGCUGCGUGCAUAGACGUGGCUCCACCAGCUGCUCGCGUGCUUGGCAGCGCGGUGGCAUCGCGAGGAGGAACUGCAGACGACGUGAGUGGGCGAGCCUUCGGCUUCAUGGCACAGGGAUGGCGGCGACACGACGGUGAUGGGCGAGAAAUUGUUGGCCAGAGCAGGCGGGCGCCGGCAUGCGCAACGGCGGCGGCGGCAUAUUGAUGAGUGCGCGUGUGGGAGCUUACUUUAGUUUUAUAUAUAAGGUUGGUCAAACUUAAAAGAAUACCGUACUAGUACACGUAAACAUUAGACUUAGGUAGCGCUUUUAUUAGUUAGUACCACAGCCACGAUACGGAAUCCUGUGCAAGCGCGUGAACCGCGGCCGCGCGGUCGAUUGAAUGGUGCGUCACCAUGUCGCGCUCGAAGGGCAUCCACCGAACCUUUUUGUGUGUGUGAAAACAAUCCUCGAAUAUUACUCAACUUGUUUUUCCUGUGAAAGGUCUUGACCCUGCAAUAUUUCCAUAUAUUUGAAUUUAGCUCCAGUUCGUGUUUAUUUGGAUUUGGACGUUUUAGGUGCUCCCUAGUUUUUUUUUAAUACUGAUUUUGUGUGUGUGACUGAGAGAGAACGUGUGUAUGUGUCCAUAUGUUUGUUGUGGCGGAAGGGCAAUGUGGAGACGGUGUGCGUGUGAUACAGACAUAGAGAGGUGUGAAUGUGCAAAUGAUCAUGCAUGAGUGAGACAUAGACAGAUGCCGAUACGUUGUGUAUACAUGAGAGAACGGUCUUCUAGUUUACUUGUGUGUGUGUGUGAGAGAGAGAGAGAGAGAGAGAGAGAGAGAGAGGGAGAGAGAGAGAGAGAGACAGAGAGAGGAGCAUCCGUAACACAACAACCAUCUCUCUUGAUUCAUCCGUCCCUCGCACGGUCGCAUGCAACACAUGCAUCAACGCGCACAUUUUGACACCCUCACCCGGCCCCUACCCACCUCAAGGCCCGCACAAUCUCUUCGUGAAUACCCAUUUCUCUCCUUAGGUUUGUUUUCUCUCAAUAUCUGACACACACACACACACACAGAGAGAGACACACGCAGCACAACACACACACACACACACACUCCCCCGAGCACACAAUUCAUCCCCAUCCAAGGUUAUACGGCGACCACUCUCGCUUGUGCUUCUUUGCACCCCAACAUGCACAACACCUCAAUCUUCAAAGAGGGCAUCGAGCAGAUCGAAGACGGCGACCACACCGUGCUAGAGAAUGCGGGGUCAUUUGGAAGCAGGGUGAUGUGACGACGGCUGACUGACUCCUCCCCCCACCCUCUCUCUCUCCCCCGCACAAAAUUACCAAUCCCUCUCUCCCCCACACAAAAUUGUCAAUCCCUCAACCCACGAGAUCCUUCCCCUCUCGUCCAUCUUUUUCCAGCUCUCUCAUCAAACAUGUUGUCUCUUCUCCUUCCACGUAUACAGAAUCCAGAUGCACACGCAUCUCAUGUAUAUUACAUGUAUCCAUCUUUCUCACAGACCUAACUUCUUCCUCUCUCUUUCUCUCUCUAUCUCUCUCUCUCUGUCUCGUUAGGUUUGUCUCCUACUCUCUCGUCCACAUACAUACAAUCUUUCCCGCCCUAUCUGCUCCAUCUUCAAAACCUCUCUCUGCACGUUUCAUUCACACAUUGGGAUAUGUCAAAAUGUUGCUUCUAUAAUGGCUGAUGUAGAGUUAUGGUUGUUUUUGUUGCAUCCUACAAAGUAAUAACUAUGAAAUGCAUUUAGAUUCUCAUUUGACUGGGAUUAUGUGAGCUUGAGCAUGUUGUGAAGUACUAUAGACCUUGUAUACAUCAUGGGAUUCGACAAUGAUUGUAACUAUUGAAUUGUAUAGACCAUUACAUUCGAAGUCAAUAGCCUAAUAUAUUUACUUCACAAUUUCAACAAAUGAUUAGUUCACUACAAACUAAGAAAACAAAUGUGUACUCCCUCUGUUUUUAUUUAAGUCCGCGUAUUAACAUUGGUCAAAGUCAAGUUUUGUAAACUCUCAGAAAGCUUUUAACAAAAAUAUAUUAACAUAUACAAUAACAAAUAAAUACCAUUAGAUUCAUUAUUGAAUGUACUUUCACAUCAUACAUAUUUGUUAUGGUAAAUGUUUAUAUUUUUCUAUAAACUUGGUCGAACUUUAGGAAGUUUGACUUCGGUCAAACCUAAUAUGCAGAGUUUACUACUACUACUCGCUAGUUGCUUAGCCGAAUCACUCAACACGCCACACGGGGAGUCCAGUGUCACAAAAUUUUGAGGUCGGCGGGAAAAGCUCCCGCGACCCUGAUUCGAGCAGUGGGAAGUUACCAUCAUAGCCUUCGGAACAGGCCUACGGAUGACGCUUGGUAGGGGGCUAUUUUCGUAACUUCAGGUUCACCCUACCCAGCCAACCCCACCCCGGCACCCAAAGUAGUACACCUGAAUACUCCCCAUUUUCUAUCCCCACCGCAAAAUAGACUUCUCCACGGCACCGCAACCUUCGUGCUCCUCCCCUUUACAUCGGCGCACUCGUCCACCGCAGCGCAUCUGCCUCAUCGAUGACCUCGUACGCCGCACUGGAGCCGGUCCACCAUCGUCGUCGUACACGGAGCCUCUUCCCAGGCAUCGUCUUCCACGGUCUCGGAUCUGCUUCCCGGAAACUGACGCCAAGCGUAAAAGUACCACCGUCAUGAACAAUGAACUGACUCCCGUUGCCGACCAUGACUCACAGAGGCCGCCACGACCAUCGUUCUCCUCCUCGAUUGGUAAUGUGUGUAUUGAAUCACUUAGCAGUACAUGUGCAGUUCCAAUUUUGUUCAUACCUACCCUUCAAAUUUCCUGGGUGCUAUUGUUCCCGUAAAAGUAAUUGGUUAUAGCCUCCAUUGUCUAACAGAAUAUCAGCUUGUAAUUGUGCGUCGCUCCUGUAUUGCGCUAUGCUUGGGUUGGUUUUUCAUCUGCAACCAGUAGUGUGGCAAAUGAUGGAAAGGUUUUUAGAAGUAGCAAGAUGCCCAUGCGUUGCACGCAUCAAGUUGCAUUUGUAUGAGUAGUUUAUCUUGUGGGAGAAAAGGAUGAACGAGGGAAGGCCUUAUUUGCAAAUCUAGAGAGGGGUAUGGGUAUCUUUCUGCAAAAUUCCCAUUUGUUUCCUUCCUAUCUGUCAGAUAUAAAUCGGACGGCCUAUAUUGCAAGAAAAAAAGUAUAGAGAAAAAAGUAGACAGUAAAGGAAGUAGAGAUAAAUAUUAAAUAUUAAAUAUAAAAUAAAUAUAACAGUAGAGAAGAGAGUAGAGAUAGCAGAGACGUCAGGAAAGGAUCGCGCGCUCGGGAAAAAGCGGCCGGGCGUGCGCUAGUUUUGGCACGCGGCGUCUGGCGCGCUAUAUAAAAUCCAACGCCCUCCCACCGCUCUGUGUCUUUCCACCGCUCUCUCCCCGCUCUGUGCCUCGCCACCGCUCUCUCCCCGCUCUUUUUUGCCUCGCCGCCGCCGCGCCACCAUGCCGCCGCGUCGCCGGGAAACUUGGGGAUACCGCGGCGUCCGCGCGCGCCCCUCCGGCGGCUUCUCCGCCGAGACCCGGUUCCGCGGGAUGCGCCUCGGCCUCGGCAAUUUUGACACGGCCAACAAGGCCGCCCGCGCGUACGACGCGGCGGUGUGGCGCCUCCGGUGGCCUCAUAGAACAUUGAACUUCCCCAACGUGCCGAUGCGGGAGCGGGUGGAGGAGCUCGCGCCUCUGCCGCAGCUUAGCAUCGACGAGGAUCGUCGCGACAACCGGAGGCGGGAGCAUCGUCUCGGCAUCACCGAGACGGACGAGGAAGCCAUGGCGCUGUGGCGCCAACACUUCCCGCAGGACAUCAUCAACGAGCGCGAGUUCUACGCGCAAAGGAGGGCGGAGAGGGAUAAGAGGAGGGCGGAGCGAGCUGCCUAUCGCGAGGACAAGCGUAGGUGAAAAGCAGACGCUCAAUUCAACAUGAGGCUAGGAGCAGCAUCGCCCUGGGAAUCCGACAACGAUCGGUAUCUUCACGCCUACAAUCAGACGUCGGAGGAGGACAUCACCGAGGAGGAGUUGGACGACGAGGAGUAGUUGAAUUAUCUUUUUUUAUCUAUCUAUGCUGAGAACUAUCCUCUACUCUCUAGUAUCUACUUCUCGAUCUCAGCACUGUAAACGCUUUUUUAAAGCGCCGCACGUUGCGAUUCUGUUGGAGAUGCUCUAACAUGGCAGACGAGUGCUUUAAUGUUGCCCACAAGAUGCGCGAGUAUUACUAGUAGUAUAUUUUUCUUGCCAUGUUGGGAUUUUAAAACCACGAGUGCGAACAUGCAGAGGAGCAAUGAAGACCAAACACGGGAUAUUCGGGACAUCUUCAAGGAGCGUGGCAAGUUAAAGAGGAGCUGCACCGAACCUGUAAAACGAGCUUUGGUAAGUAACACCCUUUCAAUUACUUUCGUGUAGCCUCGUGUUCUUCGAUGUGUAUAUGUUUUAGUUUCUGUUUCUCUUAAGCGUGGUGUUCUUCGAUGUGUAAUAAGAAGAGUCUUAAUCGUCCUAAUGCUUUCGUUUUUAGCUUGAUGUAGGAAGUGGGUGUUCUCACCUUGUAGUCUGUUUUUUUAUUUUCCUUUUGAAUUCACUUCUCCGAGUUCUGUUUAUCUGGCUUCUACUAAAUGGAUCUAGGUUGCUCUGAGUAUUGAUCUAAAAAAGAAGUAACUUCAUGUCAGGAUGCAGUUCCUGCAAGGAGGGAAGUAUGGUCAACCUUGAGAUCAUGUUUCCAAAAUGAGGCUGGAUUACACACAAGGUGCCAGUUCCCUAAUGAUGCUGGAUUAGACACAAGGUGCAAAUUCCCAGAUGAUGCUGGAUUACACACAAGCCAGGUGGAGUCGUCAGCUGUUCGUGUCCUCGUGGCAUUAGUAAAGGCUGAAAGAAAGCGUGCAGCAGCCCUUGAGAAUGUAGCUGAGUUCCUGAAGAAGCGAAAAGAGCAAUCAGAUGCUCUCUUCACCCAAGCCAAAGAAGAGAUGGAAGAAGCCAGAAAUAAGCUAGCAGAGGCAGAGCAGGCUAGGCGUCUCCCGCUAUCUAAAAUUGUUGUCAAUACAAAAUUUCCUUUAUAAUAGCUAGGUUCAAAUGUUUAUCCAGUCAGCAUGCCUGUUAUGAUGUCCGUGCAUCUACUGAUGUGGCACAAAAUGUUUUUUUUCGGGUCAUGUAAUAACAGCAAUUACUUUCCAAACAAUAACAGACGAAGCAUUGGACAUGGUAUAGUUCACGCGCAAGCCCGACAUUCCAAGUUCAGCUUCCACAUCAAACUCAUGUUCACAGAUAUCUACACAUUCAUACAUAAUGUCCACAACCAUCAUUCACUUCAAAGCCAAAAAAAUGUGAGGAGAGUUAUAAAUAAAGAAAAUCCUCUACUAGUUCCUGCUACCAGUGCGAGCACAACAAGUCAGACCAUGCGUAAAUUAAUUAUAUUUUAGUCAUUUUUUGUGUUCUAAAAUGCCUGCCGGCUAGCGGAAGGACGUGUUGCCGGCACACGCGCGGAUUCAAUGAAGGCAGGCGGGGCAGUCUUAAGCUGGUUGCAUGCGGCAAGGAGGCAUGCUCAGUCGGGCCUGCAGCGAGUGUGGCCCUCUUGGUCGGCGCGCCGGUUCAAUGCCUGCGCUAUGAGAGGUCGCGUUCGUGUCAGAGCAAUCACUCCCUCCAGUCCUUUUUUGUUUGGGUAUAACAAAAUCUCGUUUUCCAUUCACAUUUUACAAGUAAAAUUCGUGGACAAACUUUGACCCAAAGUACGAUGGGGACUAGUAAACCAGAAUGGAGGUAGUAGUUUUUUUAAUCAAAGAAGGGUUUCCCCUUCGAUUUUCAUUACUGAAAACCAGCAUCUAAAUCUAAACCAUAGUAUUUGCCCUAGAACUACCAGGUUCAACAUCUCACAACAUAAACCCAUACAACCUCCAUCGCAAAAAAUAACCAUGCAACCAUACGCCAAGGAGGUACGUAGUACUAUGAAUUCCAUUUUCGCUCCAUACCAAUCGUUCUAAAAACUACUUACUACUUAUAACGCGCCAUUGAAAAUAGGAACUCUUAACCCCGCUAAAAAAGAUAUUUUAAACGUGGCUACUCGAUCUGUGGCAACUGGCGAGCCACCGCACUCCAAGUCGUUCACCUGUGGUCCCGACCAUCAACUCCUACGGAUCAAAUUAUCACGCGAGCUGACUAUUCCUACAAAGGUGCUCCACCACAUACCCGGUACCCGCGAAUGCAGCAAUCGUGCACCUAGGGUUUUAGGGUUUAUUUGUCAACGUCGCCUUUACGUAACACUCAUGUGUGCGAGACAGCGAGAGGCCGACUGCGUGCGUGCACCUCUUCUAUUCGUAUAUGUACUCCACCGUUUGUCUGGUGUCCAAAAAAUUAUAAUAACUACUAGCAAUGUGCCAAUGCGUUGCCACACGAUCAAAGUAGAUUAAUACAUAUUCACCGAUUUGAUAGAAAAAAGUCUAGUUUUGAAAUACGUAUAUCACUAAAAAUAUGUUAUGUUUCACUCAAAAUAUAUUCCUUUGGCGGUUUUGAUGAGAUAAGGGACGAAUGUUGUUGGUUUCAAGAUUCGAGAAGUGGUAUAUGUCUAAUUUCUACUCUUACUAGCAAGAUGCCCGUGCGUUGCACGGAACAUCAAGAUCUUGUGGGAGAAAAGGAUGAACGAGGGAAGGCCUUAUCUGCAAAUGUGGUGAAGAGUGCGGGUAAAUUGCCAUAUUUUCCUUCCUAUCCGUCAGAUAUAAAUCGGACGACCUACAUUGCAGGAUGACAGGCCCACCAUCAUCACCAACUCUAUUUUUUAUCCCUACUCUUAUAAAAAGCAUUGUCGGUGAUGAUCGUGUGCCUGCCAUCCUGCAAUAUAGGUCGUCCGAUCUAUAUCUGAUGGAUAGGAAGGAAACUAUGGAAAUUUUGCAAAAAGAUACCCACACCCCUCUCCACAUUUGCAAAUAAGGCCUUCCCUCGUUUAUCCUUUUCCCCCACAAGAUAAACUACUCAUACAAAUGCAUCUUGAUGUUCCGUGCAACGCAUGGGCAUCUUGCUAGUUGUUGCAAAAGCCCAUGUGUGUGAGAGAGAGAGGGAGAGUGGAGGAGGACGGAGUGCAUGUGUGACAAAGACACAAGGAGUGUGUGUGCGAUAGGUAUCAGCUUAAAAUGAGGCGAUAGUGUGUGUGUGCACGAUCGAGAGGGCGUGUCUCGAGAAGGGAAGAAAAAUCUACAUAGAUACAAGGAGCGGGAGAGAGACAUGUAUGCGAUGGUGGAAGCACGAGUGUGCGGGUGUAUAAACCUAUCUAGAGGCUAGCUAGUCGAUAAAUGUUUGUGAGAGAAAUACGAGUCGGGGUGCGAAAGCGAGAGUUUUGUGUGUGUGAGAGAGAGACGGUAGUCGGGAAGGGGAGUGGAAGCAGGAGUUGUGUGUGUGUGUGUGUCUGUGAGAGAGAGAGAGAGGAGACGGUAGUCGGGGUUGUCUGAUCGGUAAACAAAUGAAUAAUGUCAGUCUGGGAUGGAGACGAAAAGGAGACCGCAACAAAUGUUGUGUCUACAGGAGAGAGAGAGAGAGAGAGAGUAAUUUUAGUGGUAUGAGUCAUAUGUAGAGACAUAUAGGGUGUGUGAGAGAAUCCCAUAGAGAGAAAGACAAAGUGAAAGACGAGUGGAGACUGUGUGUGUGGCGGUGAAAAAGAAAGCUUAGGUACCGAGUGAUACCAGAGAACAGUAGAGGCGUUAGAGAUAAUGAAAACCGUGUAAUGUAUAAUGAUAGGGAGAGUGUGACACUUCUCAAGGGAGACGUCGAGAGACCAUGUUUGCGAGGAUAGGAGAAACAUGAAGUGAUCAUGCGGGUGAGCUGGAGAAAAGAGAGUGAUAGCUACCUGAAGGAGCAUGCAUGCGAGAGAGAUGGGAGUGAAAGGAGUGAACAAAAAAGGAAUUCAAAUAUUUGAAUUCGAGAUGAUGAUACAUGUAAUCCAUACUCGAACCAAAAUUGAUCUAUCAAACAUGCAUACUCAUAUGAAUUCACGCACAUCUAUGUUAUUUAAUAUGUAGAUAUUACUGAUCCAUACAUUUUAGUAGAACAUAAUUUGGUUAAAUUUUUUCGAAUUCAACCUUAAGAUUUCGAGAUCGUUGUGUUUGUAAAUCAUAUUAUACAUAUAAAGGAGCAGAAUUCUUUGUUGUGCUUUUGAAAGUAUAUAUAAAAAAAUGAUGUAUAUAGAAUGUAAUUCCAAUUGAAAAUGGAUCCCGCCCGAAAAAAUAGAAUACAAACGGGAUUCGAAUUGAGUUGGCACGGUAAACGUGCACUCUGCAAAAUUUGAACGAAGCGGGGAAAGUCGCAGUAACCGCCCGAAACCAAAAUCUGCGAGAUGGAAAUCACUACUGCCUAUCCCUGCCACGCAAAGCCUAUCUGCUGGAUUUCUAUAGGUUUCGAUAGGGGUAGGUUUCUAAUUUCACCCAAACGUGAUGUAACAGCCUCUCACCCGGAUUCAUACAUGGUGGGCGCCAAAACACAGUGUGUCCUCGGCCGAAAUCGACUCCCUCCCCGAUUCAUAUUCAUACACAGUGGGCGCCAAAAACAAACUCUCGUCGGCAAAUAUUCCGUGUAUGCGAGAUUACCGUCCUAUCCCCAACCGACUAAUGUUGAUGUGAUGUAGUAGAAAUUUGAAACGGGGGCUAAGUUUGUAAAUUUCCUCGCAUUUGAGACAAGCGCGCCCUGAAUACAUGGUUCCCUCCUUCCUCUCUACCUCCCUUUUCCCCAUUCGUACUCCGUGGGCGCCAAAACACCCUCUCCACCCCACCCUCCUCCGUCCGCCACCCCAUCCACCGCCGUCCUCCUCCACCAUGCCGGAGCUGAUACCCGACGCCGCCGUCCAUUACAAGAGAUCGACCUCUCUCAUCCAUGGCGUCGGACCGGGAUCCUUGCAUCCCGUCCUCUCGCUUCAUCCUCGCCGCCGUCCACCUUGCCGGCGCCGCUCCUACGACCGUCACGUCCACCGCGCCCCGCCACCACCGUCUACCCUCCUAGAUCUGCUUCCACGCCGCCGACAGCCAUCGCUACUGCAGCACCGUCAAAUUCUCAGCAGAUGCGUACACGGCGCCGAACCAGAGGCGGUACUCUUUCGUAUCUGCUCAACUUAUUUAUCGCAGCAAGAAAAUAGAUCGCCACUGCUUUACUCUGAUUUCUUGUCUUGGUUGCGAAUUUGCCUUUGUCCGGUUUGCACCUUCAGAUCCGCCAUGGCACGCUCAACACUAUACUCCCAAUGCUUAUGGUUUUCCCCUUUUAUAUUCCACACUAGUUAAAUCACAGUAGACUAAAUUUCAAAAUUGGGUCAGUCGAUUUUCCAGAGCUCGCCGGAGUUCACCGGUGCGAUCGAAGGGGCUCGGGUGGUUGUGGGGCCUCGCCGAACGAAGAAAACUCGAUGCGGGUGGGGGUUGGGCCGGGGGUGGGGGUGGCGGUGGCGGAGGAACACAGGUGGUGGGGGCCGGUGGUCCGGCCGGCGGCCCGUGCGGUGUUCUGUAUGGGAAGAAUCAGAGACGAGGAAGAAGAAGGGUUAGGAGACGUAGGAUCUUCAUCCAACCGCCUGAAAUGGUCGAGAGACAGCUGGGAGUUGCAUUCUUAAUGCGCUCUGGUUCAUCAUGUGUGGGCACUGCGCAACCAACAUUUUAUUAUCCAAAAUCUGCUUGCUCUUCUUUACCAUGUUCCUCUUCCAUUCUUCUUUAAUAUGUACUCUCUCCGUUCCUAAAUACAAGUCUUUGUAUAGAUUCCACCAUGGACUACAUAUGGAGAAAAAUGAGUGAAUCUACACUCUAAAAUGUAUCUGGAUACAUCUGUAUGUGAUCCAUAGUGGAAAUCUCUACCAAUACUUAUAUUUUGGAACAGAGGGAGUAUGAUAGUAGUACAGUAUGUUCCUUGUACUGAAGAUGAGCAGGGACAUUUGCAGUGUAGAGGUCUAUACGGUCGGUUGUGAUGGACACUUUGAGCCUAUUUGAUUCGUAGGAUCUUGUAAACAUAGGAAUAGGAUUUGUAGUGGCCUGCCCACUUGAAUCCUAUAAGAAUAGCAAGGAAAUGCGGGGAGCUGUGUCGCCUUUGAGAGUUGCACUGAUAUUAACAGUACCGCACCUUCACUUGAAGAGAGCUGGUAUCUGAAGCCUUUCUAGCCGUACCGGCAAUACUAGCACAUAUAUUCUAGCAAGUUCCACUUUGCUGAUUUUACUCCGAUGCUUAAGGUUUUCCCGUUAUAUCUACACUAUGAUCUGUGUAGCUGCUUUGUGUCGCACUAGCAGCAGUCCACUCUUGAAGCUAAACACUGCAAUGACUUACAAAAUUGGCACCAAGGCAUUGAGUUCCAUUCUGGAUGCAAUGAAACUCAUACGCUCCCCACCUGUUGAUUCUUCUUCAGAAUAUGAUCCUAAUGACUAUUCUAACCUUGAGGAGUCAAAGGCAGAUGGCCUGUGCUGUUCACCCAUCAAGGUGCCUGUUCUAAUUUGGCAAUGUUUUAUUGAUUGCGGGUAUCUUGCAUAUGUUGUCUUGCAUUUCUUCUACUUUGUUGCACCGCCAUCUGCUUAGUUUACUCAUCAUAUAUGUCGAGAUGCCAUGCCCAUCCAUUAUCAAUACAUAUUCCAUCUGUCAUCAUACCAUGUUUUUCCACUCAAAUGUUGUUCUUGUGCAUCAGACAUCAAAAAGGAAGAGGGUGAUUGCCGAACCUGAAGGAGCACCAGCAAAGUCCUUGAAAAACAUGGUGGUGCCGGAGAAAUCAGACAUCACCCCACUUAUAUUGGCUGUACAACCAGUGACACAAAAUGUUGGACCGACUCCAGCAGACUGUACCCAUACUUCACUGGCCACACCACUAGCCCCACCACACAGGACCUGCACUCCAGCAAAAGGUAUACCGAUUUCAUUUGCCAUAGCACCAGCUGUACCACAGAAAAAUCCCACUCCAGCAAAAAGUACAGCAAGUCCACCGGCCGAAGACCUAUCCCAACUGCAGAGACGGCCAAUUCCUCCAGAUUGGAACCCCAUUCCAUUUAUUCCCAGUUUAAAAGACAAUGCUUUCAAUGUUGUUAGGGACUACGUGCAUAUAUUCCCAUCAUGGGAAUAUUAUUAUGAAGAGAAACACCAUUUUCACAUCUUCUUGUCCAACUUACGUGUAAGUGCUAUUAUUCAUGGUUAUUAUUUUCCUGUUUUCUGCUGAUUGAACACAUCAAUGAUUUACAUUACAUUGUUGUAACUAGGCAAGGGUCAAUCUGGAUAGUCAUGACGAGCAAAGCUUGCUUGUGCUUUUCAAGGAAGCAUUGCAUCAGUAUCGGUGUUACCUGAGGAAAUCACACUUUGAUGGCAAGUCUAUAAACGAAUUUCCGGUGAAGUCUCCUGUGCUAAAUUUAGAAGACAUUGAAUGGAAAAACCUUGUUAUGCACUGGUCUCAUUCCCAGGAUGAGGUACUGUCUAUGAAAUCACAUGACAAUUUGAACUUCUACUUUUCCGCAUGUGCCUUACGGAUCUUUUUUGCAGGAAAUCUGCUCAAAGAAGAAUUCCGGUUUGACAAGAACGACAGGAUGUCGCAAAUAUGCUGCCCGCUGCUUUUCUCUUGUUAGUACCUGUUGUCCUGUAUCACUAUACUUGCAUACAUACCUGGUUCAUUAUGUGACAGUAGUAUGCAUGAUAGCUUGCUUAUCAAUUGUUCGCUCCAAAUUAUCUGAUCUAUGAAUGGUUACAUUAGUGUAGAAUAUAUCCAAUGCCAAUGUUUUUUUAGCUCUGCAUUGUUCUUCUAAGUACAUGCUGUCCUUGAUCAGUGUACUUAUAAUGACAGGUAGUUGUUCAUGUACCAUCACUCUUCAGCUUAUUUUCCUUUGCCCUCCAUUUUCUACACAUCAGAUCUAUAUUUACUCUUACCAUAAGGUUGGUACUGAAGAAGUUUAGUUGUGCAUUGCUCUUGGAUGUACCUUUUGCCUGUAUCGCUGCACUUACAUUUAUAGCUACUUGGUUAUGUAGCAUCACUCUUCAUCUUCUCUUAAAUAUUCUCCAUUUUUUCGUAUAUUAUCACAUCUAUAUUUACUCUUAACAAAAUGUAGAAUAAAGGCAAUGCUUUUGAAGAAGAUUCUGUGGUAAACUUCUUGAAUUGCCCCCCCCAUCAGCAUGGACAAGGCCUUUAUAGAGCCUGUCUUCACCAAUAAUGUAAGUUUGUCCAUCUCAAGCCUUCAAACUUUGUUGUAUAUAUUUGGUUAGGCAUGACUGCAACAGCUGUUUAUUUUUGGUGUUUGCAUCAAAUUGCUUGUUUAAAGUUUAUUAUGUAGUUCAUAAACAAAAGUUUGUCCUUUCUCAAUUUAAGUUUUCAGUUGUACAACCAAGUUCCUUCUUCAUACCAUGUAAAUUAAACUAUACAGAGCAAGUGAUAUUCUUUUGCACUGCAUGUAUGCUUCUGUUCUUCAUCCGUAAUCCAGUGGUGUGGUGAACCAACCCACUACAGCACAAUGUCAUAUUCUGCAAUGUCUUGACUAUGAACAAUGUCAUAUCAUUCUACUAUUAUUUAAACCGUCUCUUUAUUUGCCAAUCUAAAAUGGUAUAAAUUGAUAGCACACUAACCAUUGAUACAUAUGAGUUCUUGAUCUGUAAUCUAGUGGUGUCGUGAAGCUGCCAACUCCUUCACAAUGUCAUUUCCUGCCAUGUCUUGACCUGAACAAUACCAUAUUGUGUUAAUGCAAUUUUAAACUGUGUCACUUUAUUCGUCAGUAAGAAAUGUGAUGAAUUUUCAGCACUGAUACUUUUAUGUGCAAAACCUGUCAUCUGUCUGCUUGUUUAUCUUUCAGAGUGAGGAAGAUAUAAGUGUUGAACAAGCGCAGUCUCAUCAUCUUGCUCAGCUGCUUGCGCUGCAGCUCCCCAGCAGAGCUAGCCUUUCUUGAACUCUAUUGAAGUGCUGUCGGUUUUGUAUAUUAUUUUGUUGGCGUGUUUAUUUGCACUGGUGGCGAUCUUUGAUGCCCAGUGUAUGUAAUCUGCUGUCUGCUUGUGCUUUAUUAUCAUAGUGGCAAACUUUGAUGCCCAGUGUAUGUAAUCUGCUGUCUGCUUGUGCUUUAUUAUCAUAGUGGCAAACUUUGAUGCCCAGUGGAUGUAAUAUGCUGUAAUUUCUUUAUUGUAUAGUCUAGGUUUUUUCUUAUUCACGAUGCUGCAGUUAUUUUACUGUAUAUAUAUCCUGUCUUCGCAGUAAACCGGCCAAACCGUAAAAUUACGGUACAUAAUCGGGCCGUCAUGCAAUCACGAUGUAGGUUGGGCCUGAAACAUGCCGAACAGCUCACGGCCCAGCAGCAGCCCGAAAUGAACCCCGGCCCAUGAUUGUGCGAAUCAAAUCUUGGGCUUUUAACAGGCCAAAAUUGUCUCGGUCCUUGUUUGGCCCAAUCAGAUAUCGGCUGCGAGCAGGCCGGAUGCAAACCGGGCCGUAGUUAGGCCCAACUAUAUGACGGGCUUUUAAUAGGCCGAAAUUAAUAUAGGGCCGAAAUGUUAAAUGGGCCCUUAACAAGACAAAACUAAUAUCAGGCCAAAUUACUAAGUGGGCCUUUAGCAAGUGGGCCCAAAAGCAUAGUGUCCAGUUGAUGGGCCGAAUCUGAUAUGGGCCAUAAUUGAGCCCAAAGCCUCUUAAAGGGCCAGACCUGAUCUGGGCCGUAAUUUGGCCCAGAACGUGGUAGGAUUUUAACUGGCCGGAUCUCAUAUGGGCCACUAUUAGGCCCGGAGCAUGGCGGGCCAUUAAUGGACCGGAUCAAAUAUGGGCCGGCAUUUGGCCCAAAACAUGGCAGCCAGUUAAUGGGCCGACCUACUAGGGUCCUCAAAAUCUUGUGGGCCUACAGCUAGGCCGGCCCAUUAAUGUCGGCAAAAUCUCGUGGGCCUUUAGCUGGGCCGUCCCAUUAUGAUCCGCAAGAAUCUUGUGGGCCUUUACCUGGGCCGGGCCAUUAUGGCACACAAAAAUCUUGUGGGCCUUUACCUGGGCCGGCCCAUUAUGGCACACAAAAAUCUUGUGGGCCUUUACCUGGGCCGGCCCAUUAUGGCCCGCAAAAUCUUGUGGGCCUUUAGCUGGGCCAGCCCAUUAUGGUCCGCAAAAUCUCGUGGGCCUUUAGCUGGGCCGGCCCAUUAUGGUCCGCAAAAUUUUGUGGGCCUUCAGUUGGGCCGACCCAUUUAAACUUGAUGGGCCGGUCCAUGUGUCAACAUAUCAUAGGCGCGUUUGGCCCAUUGGAUGAGUGACACCUGUGCCAACGCGGACCUGACACGUGUCUCCUCCAGCCAAUGAUGAUUUUACACGUGGAAAAUCCCCAUUGGUCGGGGCUGUUAACGGGUUAUCGGAUCCAAAACCCGACCCGAUAGCUUAACGGCGUUCCGUUACGGUGGAUGCCACGUGUCGGUCACCCUUGACGAAAGCACUUCUGUGACGCGCGAUUUAUCGUCAUGGAAGUGGACACUUCCGUGAUGAUAAUUUUGGUAAUGUCAUGGAACACUUCUACGAUAGCUCAUAAAAUCGUCAUGGAUGUACAUGCAUGACAGAAAACACGACCUACUGUGACAAACAUGUAUCAUCACGGAAGUGUAUUUUUUUGUAGUGAUGUUAAUCAUAGAAUUGCAUCUUCGUACCAUCCACAAUCUAGUGGUCAAGUAGAACUUAGUAAUAGAGAGCUCAAAUUAAUUUUGCAAAAGACUGAUAAUAGAUCUAGAAAGAAUUGGUCGAAGAAACUUGAUGAUGCAUUAUGGGCCUAUAGAACUGCAUAUAAAAAUCCUAUGGGUAUGUCUCCGUAUAAAAUGGUUUAUGGCAAAGCAUGUCACUUACCUCUCGAACUAGAACAUAAGGCAUAUUGGGCCAUUAAAGAGCUCAAUUAUGAUUUCAAACUUGCCGCUGAGAAGAGGCUAUUUGACAUUAGCUCACUUGAUGAAUGGAGAACCCAGGCCUAUGAGAAUGCCAAACUGUUCAAAGAAAAAGUCAAAAGAUGGCAUGACAAAAGGAUACAAAAGCGUGAGUUUAAUGUAGGUGAUUAUGUGUUGCUAUUCAACUCUCGCUUAAGAUUUUUUGCAGGAAAACUUCUUUCUAAAUGGGAAGGGCCUUACGUUAUCGAGGAGGUCUAUUGUUCCGGUGCCAUAAAAAUCAACAACUUCAAAGGCACAAAUCCGAAGGUGGUGAACGGUCAAAGAAUCAAACAUUAUAUCUCAGGUAAUCCUAUAAAUGUUGAAACUAAUGUUAUUGACACCGUGACCCCGGAGGAGUACAUAAGGGACACUUUCCAGAACGUUUCAGACUUUGAAAAGGAAUAGGUAUAUGGUACGGUAAGUAAACCGACUCCAAAACAGUUCUAAUAGAAAUUUUUCUCCAUUUUGGGAUAUUUAAGAAAAUAGGAAAAUAAGAAGCAGUCCGGGAAGGACACGAGGCGUCCACAAGGGUGGAGGGUGCGCCCUACCCCCUGGGCGCGCCCCCUGCCUCGUGGGCACCUCGUGUGCCCUCCGGACUCCGUUUUUUUGCACGAUACUUCUUUUGGUCGGUAAAAAUUCAUUAUAUAAUCUCCUGAAGGUUUCGACCACCGUACCACGCAAAUAUCCUCUGCUUUUGUUUCGAGCUGUUUUUCUGACAGAUCUAGAUCACCAUGACGUCUCCAAGUGCCCCCAAGGACAAGUUCUUCGAGAAGGUCAUCAACCCCUACCUCACGGAAGUGCUGCAACAUCCUCAAACCAUUGAGAUGCGUGAGGGGUUGCUGUACAUCCGCGAUGUUGAGGGACCAAGGAGGACCGGAAGCAUGGAGACAAGGCUCAAGGCAAUGGAGCAGCAAGUUUACAAGUGCCAGGAGAUGGUGGAACAUGGACUCGACGCUAAUCAUAUAAUUAUCACAAAGUUCACCAACAACCACAAGCUGGAUGCCAAGAACAUUGGGGAGGCCAUCUUCAAGCUUCACGAGAAAAUUGAGUGCCUCCAAGCCCAGAUUUAUGACCUGCAAAACCAAAACUGUGAGUAUGAAUAUAGAUUCAAGAGCAUGAGUUUUGCUGCAGAUUUGAGGAUCCCGGAGACUCGGUCAUCCUUUUACGAUGGUGAGCCCAUGCCUUGGAAGAUGGACGACAAGCCUACAUCAUCAACAACUCCAUCAUCACCACCUCCGAAGGGAGAGACAUAAUCACAUGGGUAUGGGCACUCCCCUUGGCAACUGCCAAGCUUGGGGGAGGUGCCCCGGUAUUGUAUCACCAUCACAAUCCUAUCCUUACCAUUUUUCUUAGUUUGAUCCUUUUGGUAAUAUCUUGAUCUAGUAGAAUAAAGUUUUAGUAUGAUCUAGUUUUGAGCUAUGCUUUAUGAUCCUUCUAUGUAAUCGAGUCCGUGAGCUAUAUAUAUAAUAAAGAUUAGUGUUGAGUCAAGGGCUUGAUUAUCUUGCUAUGAUCUUGAGGGAAUUAAAAAAAAGAAAGAAUAAAAAUAAAUAAAAGAGAUCAUAUUGAUCUUAUGGAGAGUAAUGACUUCACAUAUAAAGAGUAUGAUGAAUAAAAGUUGUUGAGAGUUGACAAACAUAGUUUUGGUCAUCGUUGCAAUUAAUAGGAAGUAAUAAAGAAAGAGAGGUUUUCACAUAUAAAUAUACUAUCUUGCACAUCUUUUAUGAUUGUGAGCACUCAUUAAAAUAUGACAUGCUAAAGAGUUGAUGUUGGACAAGGAAGACAACGUAAUGGGUUAUGUUUUCUUAUAUCCGAAAUAAAGUAUAUUGUCAUGGAUCAUCCAACAUGUUGAGCUUGCCUUUCCACCUCAUGCUAGCCAAAUUCUUUGCACCAAGUAGAGAUACUACUUGUGCUUCCGAAUAUCCUAAACCCAGUUUUGCCAUGAGAGUCCACCAUACCAACCUACAGAUUGAGUAAGAUCCUUCAAGUAAGUUGUCAUCGUUGCAUGCAAUAAAAAUUGCUUUCUAAAUAUGUAUGAUUUAUUAGUGUGGAGAAAAUAAGCUUUAUACGAUCUUGUGAUGUGGAAGAAAUAAAAGCGACAGACUACAUAAUAAAGGUCCAUAUCAUAAGUGGCAAUAUAAAGUGACGUUCUUUCGCAUUAAGAUUUUGUGCAUCCAACCAUAAAAGCACAUGAUAACCUCUGCUUCCCUCUGCGAAGGGCCUAUCUUUUAUUCUUGUCUCAUACCUUAUACAAGAGUCAUGGUGAUCUUCACCUUUCCUUUUUACAUUUUAUCCUUUGGCAAGCACAUUGUGUUGGAAAGAUCCUGAUAUAUAUAUCCAAUUGGAUGUAAGUUAGCAUGAACUAUUAUUGUUGACAUUACCCUUGAGGUAAAAGGUUGGGAGGCAACACUAUAAGCCCCUACCUUUCUCAGUGUCCGAUUGAAACUCCAUAACCAUAAGUAUUGCGUGAGUGUUAGCAAUUGUGAAAGACUAAAUGAUAGUUGAGUAUGUGGACUUGCUGAAAAGCUCUUAUAUUGACUCUUUCUGAUGUUAUGAUAAAUUGCAAUUGCUUCAAUGACUGAGAUUAUAGUUUGUUAGUUUUCAAUGAAGUUUCCGAUUCAUACUUCACAUUGUGAAUAGAUUGUUACUUUCGCAUAAGAAAUCAUAUGACAAUAUAUAUAUAUAUAUAUAUGUUGCUGUUAUAAGAAUGAUCAUGAUGCCCUCAUGUUCGUAUUUUCUUUUAUCGACACCUCUAUCUCUAAACAUGUGGACAUAUUUUUCGUUAUCGGUUUCUGCUUGAGGACAAGCGAGGUCUAAGCUUGGGGGAGUUGAUACGUCCAUUUUGCAUCAUGCUUUUAUAUCGAUAUUUGUUGCAUUUUGGGCUGUUAUUACACAUUAUGUCAUAAUACUUAUGCCUAUCCUCUCUUAUUUUACAAGGUUUGCAUGAAGAGGGGGAAUGCCGGCAGCUGGAAUUCUGGGCUGGAAAAGGAGCAAAUAUUAGAGACCUAUUCUGCACAACUCCAAAAGUCCUGAAAUUUCAUAGAGGCAUGUUUAGGAAUAUAUAAAAAAUAUUGGCAAAAGAAUUAACCAGAGGGGGCCCACACCCUGGCCACGAGGGUGGGGGGGGCGCGCCCUACCCCCUGGGCGCCCCCCUGCCUCGUGGGCCCCUUAGCAGGCCUCUGUUGCCCAUCUUCUCCUAUAUGAAGUCUUUUACCCUGGAAAAAAUCAGGAGGAAGCUUUCGGGACGUAACACCGCCGUCACGAGGCGGAACCAAUCUAGGGCUUUGGCGAAGUUGUUCUGCCGGGGAAACAUCUCAGCGGGAGGGGGUCAAUCUCCAUUAAUAUCUUCACUAGCACCAUCUCCUCUCAUACCCUAGUUCAUCUCUUGUAUCCAAUCUUUGUCCCAAAACCUCAGAUUGGUACUCGUGGGUUUCUAGUAGUGUUGAUUACUCCUUGUAGUUCAUGCUAGUUGGUUUAUUUGGUGGAAGAUCAUAUGUUCCAAUCCUUUAUGCAUAUUAAUACCCCUCUGAUUAUGAACAUGAAUAUGAUUUGUGAGUAGUUACAUUUGUUCCUGAGGACAUGGGAGAAGUCUUGCUAUAAGUAGUCAUGUGAAUUUGGUAUUCGUUCGAUAUUUUGAUGAGAUGUAUGUUGUCUCUCCUCUAGUGGUGUUAUGUGAACGUCGACUACAUGACACUUCACCAUUAUUUGGGCCUAGAGGAAGGCAUUGGGAAGUAAUAAGUAGAUGAUGGGUUGCUCGAGUGACAGAAGCUUAAACCCUAGUUUAUGCGUUGCUUCGUAAGGGGAUGAUUUGGAUCCAUAUGUUUCAUGCUAUGGUUAGGUUUACCUUAAUACUUCUUUUGUAGUUGCGGAUGCUUGCAUAGGGUUAAUUAUAAGUGGGAUGCUUGUCCAAGAAAGGGCAGCACCCAAGCACCGGUCCACCCACAUAUCAAAUUAUCGAAGUAACGAACGCGAAUCAUAUGAGCGUGAUGAAAACUAGCUUGACGAUAAUUCCCAUGUGUCCUCGGGAGCAUUUUCCUUCAUAUAAGAGCUUGUCCAGGCUUGUCCUUUGCUACAAAAAGGAUUGGGCCAUCUUGCUGCACUUAAUUUACUUUCAUUACUUGUUACCCGUUACAAAUUACCUUAUCACAAAACUAUCUGUUACCGAUAAUUUCAGUGCUUGUAGAGAAUAUCUCACUGAAAACCGCUUGUCAUUUCCUUCUGGUCCUCGUUGGGUUCGACACUAUUACUUAUCGAAAGGACUACGAUAGAUCCCCUACACUUGUGGGUCAUCAACUUGCUAUAAUUAUAUUCUCAAAUUAUUUCCGUUCUCAUUAAAGGGUGAUGCUAAAGCUUGGUACAAUACUCUUACUCCUGGUUGUGUGCGUAGUCCCCAGGAUAUGAUUUAUUACUUCCCCGAAAAAUAUUUUCCUGCUCAUAAGAAACAAGCUGCCUUACAGGAAAUAUUUAACUUUGUGCAAACUAAAGAAGAGAGUCUCCCACAAGCUUGGGGGAGGCUUUGCCAAUUACUUAUUACUUGCCUGAUCAUCCUCUUAAGAAAAAUGAAAUACUCGAUAUCUUCUAUAAUGGACUAACUGAUGCUUCUAGGGACUUCCUAGAUAGUUUUGCUGGUUGUGUUUUCAGGGAACGAACUGUUGGGCAAGCUGAAGAAUUAUUGAUUAGCAUAUUGAAAAAAUAUGAUGAUUGGACUCUUCCCGAACCACUGGCUAAACCCACUCCGAAGAAGAGGGGUAUAUUAUAUCUCAGUCUUGAAGAUAUGCAAGAGGCAAAGAAAUCUAUGAAGGAAAAAGGUAUUAAAGUUGAGGAUGUCAAAAAUUUACCUCCUAUUGAAGAAAUACAUGGGCUUAAUACACCACCACUGUCUAAGGUGGUAGAGGUAAAUUCUUUAAUGAAGUUCAAUGAUAAUGACAAUCCUCACAAUAUGCAUCCUAGCCAAUGCCUUUGUGCGUUUGAAAACUACAUUAGAAAACAAGAUCACUUCAAUGCAAAUGUGAAACAAUUGAAAUAUAAUUCUGAUAUGAUUGCUCGCUUGAGUGACUUGUUAUUUAGAAUAUCAAAUUAUGUUAGAGGUGUUUGAAAACAUACUUCUAUGGUACAAACCCAAUUAGAACAAUUUGCUAAAUCACAAAGAGAAUUGCUUGGUGAAAUGAAUAACAACAUACAUGACUUUGCUGUUAGAGUUGCAACUAGAGGAGAUAAAAUGACUCGGGAACCACUUUAUCCUGAGGGACACCCAAAAAGAAUUGAACAAGAUUCACAAAGAGUUAACACUGAUGCACCUAGUCCUUCUAGAAAGAAAAAGAAAAAGAAAAAUGAUGGGACUUUGCAUACUUCUAGUGAACCUGAAAUAGAAAAACCUCAUGAUAAUGAUAAUGAUACUUCUAUCUCUGAUGCUGAAACUCAAUCAGGUAAUGAACAUUCACCCAAUGAUAAUGAAAAAGAUAAUGUUGAUGUUCAUGAAGACACUCAACCAAAUGAAAAAGAACCAGACAAUGAUGUUGAGAUAGAACCACCUGUUGAUCUUGAUAACCCACAACCUAAGAAUAAAAUAUAUGAUAAAAGAGACUUCAUUGCUAGAAAACAUGGUAAAGAAAGAGAACCGUGGGUUCAAAAACCUAUGCCUUUUCCACCCAAGUCAACUAAAAAGAAAGAUGACGAAGAAUUUGAACGCUUUGCUGAAAUGCUGAGGCCAGUCUUUUUGCGUACUCGCUUGACUGAUAUCUUCAAAAUGCCUCCUUAUGCAAAGUAUAUGAAAGACAUCAUCACUAAUAAGAGAAAAACACCAGAGGCUGAAAUCUCCACUAUGCUUGCUAAUUAUACUUUUAAAGAUGGAGUACCUAAAAAACUCGGAGAUCCGGGAAUACCAACUAUACCUUGCUCUAUCAAAAAGAAUUAUGUGAAAACUGCUUUAUGUGAUUUAGGAGCUGGCGUUAGUGUUAUGCCUUUCUCUUUAUAUAAAAGGCUUGAUUUGAAUAAACUCAUACCUACUGAAAUAUCAUUGCAAAUGGCUGACAAAUCAACUGCCAUACCUGUCGGUAUCUGUGAGGAUGUUCCCAUUGUUGUUGCUAAUGUUACUAUUUUGAAUGACUUUGUUAUACUUGAGAUGCCCGAGGACGACAACAUGUCGAUUAUCCUUGGUAGACCCUUCUUGAAUACUGCAGGGGCUGUUAUUGAUUGCAAUGAAAGCAAGCUCACUUUUCAUAUCAAUGGUAAUGAGCAUACGGUGCACUUUCUGAAGAAACAAUUCCAAGUGAAUGGUAUUAAUGUUAUUGAAAAAUCUCCGACAAUCACUAUUGGAAGCUUUCAAAUACCUCUACCUACUGUCAAAAAUAAAUAUGAAAGGCUUAUUGUUGGCAACAUUCAUAUCCCCAUUGAGGUAACUUAGUGAUUUACGAAAGUUCUUCAGUUUCAUGCUAAUCAAAAGUGGUUGUUAAUAAGACCUGAUCAACCUUAUUAACUGAUCAUUUUUGAACGGUAUGAAGUUGAUGAAUUUAGUAAGCACUACCUUCUGUCCCUACUUUUAGUUUUCUGUUUUUAUUAGUUACAUAAAAUAAAAUGCCAUGUUUUAUCUGUUUUCUGAAUUUUCUGUGCAAUAAAAAAUGACCCAAAAAUAAAAAUUCUCAGAAUGCCCUUGAUACGUCUCCAACGUAUCUAUAAAUUUUGAUUGUUCCAUGCUAUAUUAUAUUCUGCUUUGGAUGUUUAAUGGGCUUUAUUAUACACUUUUAUAUUAUUUUUGGGACUAACCUAUUAACAGGAGGCCCAGCCCAAAUUGCUGUUUUUUUGCCUAUUUCAGUGUUUCGCAGAAAAAGAAUAUCAAACGAAGUCCAAUCGGAAUGAAAUCUUCGGGAACGUGAUUCUCGGAACAAACGUGAUCCAGAGGACUUGGAGUCCACGUAAAGAAAUCAACAAGGAGAGCACGAGGCAGGGGGCGCCUACCCCCCCUCCCAGGCGCGCCCUCCACCCUCGUGGGGCCCAUGUUGCUCCACCGAUGUACUUCUUCCUCCUCCUAUAUACCUACGUACCCCCAAACCAUCAGGGGCAUCCACGAAAACCUAAUUCCACCGCCGCAACCUUCUGUACCCGUGAGAUCCCAACUUGGGGCCUUUUCCGGCGCUCCGCCGGAGGGGGCAUUGAUCACGGAGGGAUACUACAUCAACACCAUAGCCUCUCCGAUGAUGUGUGAAUAGUUUACCUCAGACCUUCGGGUCCAUAGUUAUUAGCUAGAUGGCUUCUUCUCUCUCUUUGGAUCUCAAUACAAAGUUCUCCUCGAUUCUCUUGGAGAUCUAUUCAAUGUAAUCUUCUUUUGCGGUGUGUUUGUUGAGACCGAUGAAUUGUGGGUUUAUGAUCAAGUUUAUCUAUGAACAAUAUUUGAAUCUCCUCUGAAUUCUUUUAUGUAUGAUUGGUUAUCUUUGUAAGUCUCUUCGAAUUAUCAGUUUGGUUUGGCCUACUAGAUUGAUCUUUCUUGCAAUGGGAGAAGUGCUUAGCUUUGGGUUCAAUCUUGCGGUGCUCGAUCCCAGUGACAGAAACGGAAACGACACGCAUUGUAUUGUUGCCAUUGAGGAUAACAAGAUGGGGUUUAUAUCAUAUUGCAUGAUUUUAUCCCUCUACAUCAUGUCAUCUUACUUAAAGUGUUACUCCGUUCUUAUGAACUUAAUACUCUAGAUGCAUGCUGGAUAGCGGUUGAUGUGUGGAGUAAUAGUAGUAGAUGCAUAAUUAUUUCGGUCUACUUGUCGCGGACGUGAUGCCUAUAUACAUGAUCAUACCUAGAUAUUCUCAUAACUAUGCUCAAUUCUAUCAAUUGCUCGACAGUAAUUUGUUCACCCACCGUAAUACUUAUGCUCUUGAGAGAAGCCACUAGUGAAACCUAUGGCCCCCGGGUCUAUUUUCCAUCAUAUUAAUCUUCCAACACUUAGGUAUUUCUAUUGCCGUUUGUUUUACUUUGCAUCUUUAUUUCUCUUUAUUAUAAAAAUACCAAAAAUAUUAUCUUAUCAUAUCUAUCAGAUCUCACUCUCGUAAGUGACCAUGAAGGGAUUGACAACCCCUUUAUUGCGUUGGUUGCGAGGUUCUUAUUUGUUUGUGUAGGUGCGUGGGACUCGAGCGUGGUCUCCUACUGGAUUGAUACCUUGGUUCUCAAAAACUGAGGGAAAUACUUACGCUACUUUACUGCAUCACCCUUUCCUCUUCAAGGGAAAACCAACGCAGUGCUCAAGAGGUAGCAAGAAGGAUUUCUGGCGCCGUUGCCGGGGAGAUUCGCGCCAAGUCAAGUCAAGUGAAGACAUACCAAGUACCCAUCACAAACUCUUAUCCCUCACAUUACAUUAUUUGCCAUUUGCCUGUCGUUUUCCUCUCCCCCACUUCACCCUUGCCGUUUUAUUCGCCCUCUCUUUUCCGUUCGCCUCUUUUUCGCUUGCUUCUUGUUUGCUCAUGUGUUGGAUUGCUUGCUUGUCACGAUGGCUCUACCUAGAUUUGGUGAUCUUCACCUUAAAAGGUUAGAAGAGAUCGAAAGCAACGUCAGGAGUUUUAUGACUUUACAAUUUGAGCAUAAUAAUUUCUUUAGGAACGAGCUUAAGGAACAAAAAAGCUUUAUGGGUUAUAUGAAUAAAGAGCUCGAUGAUAUGUCUAAAGAAUUUUAUGGUUUGAAAUCUCAGAUUGCUCAUCUCGAAAAAUUAAUAGCUGAAGUUUCGGAUAAGCAGGCCACCUUAGUUAGUAAGAUGGCCGCUAAGCAGGAAAUUUUUUGUGAGACUAAAGAUGAAGAUCUAAAAGUUAUUGAUGUGUCUCCUAUUAAAUCUUUGUUUUGCAAUAUGAAUCUUGAUAAUGAUGGGACUGAAUAUGAGCCACCUUUAACUAGAAGGAGUUCCAAAAAUUCGGAGUCUUUAGAUCUUGAUGCGAAAUUGGGUAAAAGUGGGACUGAAGAGAUCAAAACUUUAGAUAUUAAUGAACCCACUAUUUUGGAUCUCAAGGAAUUUAAUUAUGAUAAUUUCUCUUUGAUAGAUUGUAUUUCCUUGUUGCAAUCCGUGCUAAAUUCUCCUCAUGCUUAUAGCCAAAAUAAAGCUUUUACUAAACAUAUCGUUGAUGCUUUGAUGCAAUCUUAUGAAGAAAAACUUGAGUUGGAAGUUUCUAUCCCUAGGAAACUUUAUGAUGAGUGGGAACCUACUAUUAAAAUUAAAAUUAAAGAUCCUGAAUGCUAUGCUUUGUGUGAUUUGGGUGCUAGUGUUUCCACGAUUCCAAAAACUUUGUGUGAUUUGCUAGGAUUCCAUGAAUUUGAUGAUUGUUCUUUAAAGUUGCACCUUGCAGAUUCCACUAUUAAAAAACCUAUGGGAAGAAUUAAUGAUGUUCUUAUUGUUGCACUGCUCUCACCGGUGAAAGGAAUUAUAACCUUGGAGCGAUCGUUGCACGCAGACUUCAGCACAACGCUAAAAGUGGCUAUUUCUAUGCUGGAAUAUAGGCCACGCGCACUGUACGCGUCGGUCCUAAACAAACGGUUUUUUACCCCUUUCCGCGACGGCGUUUGGAACCGUCGCCAAGUGAGUGUGGGCGAUAAGGGGGUCCUUCCCACACGACCCAGAAACCGUUGGGGAUAUGCCCUCCUGGCACACACGCUCGGCAAAAUGAGGUCGUGUGCGACUGGCGAGCACUCAAAUACAGAAAUACGUACAGUAGUGCUAAAAAAUACAAUUAUAUAGGCAAAAUCAUUUCUGGUCGUAAGUACAUCCCACACAGUUAGUCACCACUAAAUGUUUCCAUUUGUAUAUACAUCCCACAUAGUCACUACAAGGAAAACGUGUGCGCAAGGUGGCGUAACGCAAACAGUUUUGAAGAGAAUGUCGUGUGUGAUUGUUCAUUGAUCCAACACGGUUUAUUCCUAGAAACUGUGUGUGUUGCCUUAGGUCAUCGCCCACGGUGUUUUCUCAUUAACCGUUUGCAAUAGGAAAACCCAAUUAGCAAGCUAAUUGGCCAAUUAGCGGGCUAAUUGGCCUAUAUUAAUAAUCCAUUUACUAAUCUAAUUCACAUUCAUAUUAAGCACAUAAUAUAUUCCAUUUCCAUAUUAAGGAAGCAGGAUUUCAUAAUUGAAAUACAUCGGAGUACAACAUGAUAUAGCUUCAGCACUCAGCUACCCCAUUACACAACUGCACCAGCCACUACUAGGAAAAGGGCUAUAGAUGAUAUGGACACUAAUGGCGCACCAGACAUGUGGUGCGCCACUACUAUAUACUAAUGGCGCACCAUGUGUUGGUGCGCCAUUAGUGUCCAAAUACUAAUGGCGCACCACAUCCACGGUGCGCCACUAGUAACAAUUUUUUAUUUUUAUUUUCAAAACUAGUAAUGGCGCACCAGGGGAUAGUGCGCCAUUACUAGUUAAACUAGUAAUGGCGCACCACAUCCACGGUGCGCCACUAGUAAUUUUUUUUCAAUUUUUUUUUCAAUUUUUUUAAUUUUUUUUCCAAAACUAGUAAUGGCGCAACAGGGGAUAGUGCGCCAUUACUAGUUAAACUAGUAAUGGCGCACCACAUCCACGGUGCGCCACUAGUAAAUUUUUUUCAAUUUUUUUUCAAUUUUUUUUAUUUUUUUCAAAACUAGUAAUGGCGCACCACUCCCACGGUGCGCCAUUACUAACUUGACCCAAAAAUUCCACCGAAUGCACCCCCCCGCCCCCCCGUGGACCGGCUUUUCAGUUUUAAAUAAAAUAAAAGAAAAUGAUGGAAAUGUCAAAAAAAAUAAAAGAAAAUAAGUUUCCCAUGUGAUGGAAAUAAGUUCGGAUGGUCUAGUUGUUGGGAAAAUUUACAAAUAUGAAUUUCGACUUUAUUUGCAAAAUCUCUCUGGAAUUUGUAAAAUGGGCAUAACUUUUGCAUACGAACUCGGAUUAAAAAGUUUUUUAUAUGAAAAAUCAUCUACUCGAAAAGUUACAUCCGAAUUUAACGGGGGAACCCCGUUAAACAUUUUCAAAAUCCUCAAAAACCUAACAAAAAAAGUUACGGGGCUUUCAAGAUCUAGAGGCAAAAAAAUUCAAAAAAAUUCAAACUUACUAGUGGCGCACCGUUUGCUAGGUGCGCCACUAGUAACAGAAAAAAAAUUGGUGUUGAAUUUUUUUGUUGGAAUUUUUUUCAAAAAAUGAUACGUAAUAUGACCGGGAAGUUUGAAAUAUUUUUCAAAAUUUCAUCAUACUCAUGAACAUGAACAAAGUCCUAGACAUCAACAAGGUUUAAUAGGAUUGAUAUGGUAGAUAUAUCAACAAGUGCCUGUUAAGUGAGGUGGUGCUGGGGUUGGAUAGAACUGUGAAGAUUGAAAAUAAAAAUUUGAAAAAAACUUAAAAAAAAAUUGAAAAUAAAAAAUUGAAAAAAAAAUUGAAAAUAAAAAUUAGAAAAAAAGUUUAAAUUUUUUUUCUGAAAAAAUAUUUGAAAAAAAAUUGUUACUAAUGGCGCACUUCUAUGUGGUGCGCCAUUACUAAGUCAGAUAGUAAUGGCGCACGGCGUGAUGCGCCAUCAGUAUACGAGAUACUAAUGGCGCACCAGUGGUGCGCCAUUAGUAUUUAAUACUAGUGGCGUGGUACUAGUGGCGCACCAGUAGUGCGCCAUUAGUAGGCAAAACUAGUGCGCCACUAAUAGGCCUUUUCCUAGUAGUGAGCAGCAAGUUUCACAUGCAACAUCUAGAACCUUUCGAAAUUAGCAUCAUAGACGGUACAUAGAGAGAUGCAUCUCAUCUGGAAAACUGCUGAAGCGGAAGGCGAAUAUUGAGCCUUCAUUCAUGUUGAAGGUCUUUGCAACUUUAGGCCAGUGCCUGUGGAUGAUUGACCGUCCAUCCUUCGACCUCUUCAGGAACACUUCAAUAUUGAACCGUGGGUGUUGUAUGAAAACUUUCCUGGCCUCCUGACCACAUAGGUGGUUUGAGAGGUAAUUAUCAGUGAACCCUGAAAAUAAGGAUGUGCAUAAAUAUCUUCUCUAUAUUGGAAACGGGGCAAAGGGAUGAAAAAGGCAAGGCAUAAUAGUUAGUACCAUCUUGUAAACCUCAGUGCUUCCCAUUGUUUCCUUGCAACACAUAUAAGGUAGUUAGUCAUCAGGUUAAGUAAGGGUUCGCAUGCUAUUAGUAAAAUAUGUUGAUGCAAAGUAAGCACAUUGCAAAUUCAUCAGAUUAAUUCAAGCCACAUGGGAAACCCAUUUAUCCAAACAAAGCAUGAUUAAGAACUAGGAAAUAUGGCACUUGUAUAUGUUUCUCAUGUAUUAAGUGCAGCCAAAUUCGAUUUAUUCCUCACAUGGUAUAUAAUAAGAGAAUGCAGCCACAACAAUUGAACAUCGCAUUGCAGAAUUGAACCAAGCAGUUAACUAAACACCACAACAAAUGAACCAAACGUUAAUUGAGCACCACAUUGCACAAUAUAACAUACUCCUAAUACAAGAUCAGACAUUUAACCAAACCAAGCAUGCUUAACAAGUUGGAAAUAUAGCAAUUGUAUUUGUUUCUCAUGUAUUUAGUACAACCAAAUUCGAUUUAUUCCUCACAUGGUAUACAAUAAGAGAAUGCAGCCACAACAAUUGAACAUCGCAUUGCAGAAUUGAACCAAGAAGUUAACUAAACACCACAACAAAUGAACCAAACGUUAACUGAGCACCACAUUGCAUAAUAUAACAUACUCCUAAUAGAAGAUCAGACAGUUAACCAAACCAAGCAUGCUUAACAACUUGGAAAUAUAGCAAUUAUAUUUGUUUCUCAUGUAUUUAGUACAGCCAAAUUCGAUUUAUUCCUCACAUGGUAUACAAUAACAGAAUGCAGCCACAACAAUUGAACAUCACAUUGCAGAAUUGAACAAAGCAGUUAACUAAACACCACAACAAGUGAACCAAGCCAAAACAAAUGAACCAAGCAGUUAACUAAACACAAAUUAAACAAUAUAACAUACUCCUAAUAGAAGAUCAGACAGUUAACCAAACCAAGCAUGCUUAACAACUUGGAAAUAUUGCACCCUGAAGAAUUGAACAUCACAUUUGCAGAAUUGUACCAAGCAGUUAAUUGAACACCACAUUGCACGACAUAUAGAACAUAUACACUAUAGCAGAAGAUUUCAUGGUGAAAGUAGAUAGCACAAUUCACUAGAAUUUGUGAAGGAAAGGCAGUAGCUAGAAACUGAACAUGGGUCCUUAUAGUGAGCUAAUAAGACAAGAUACUCCUCAUUGUCAGAGAUAUCGAUGACGAUUGACUCCUUGUACAUGGAAGAGGGCGAGGCCUCCGCAUUGUGGGUGCCCUCGUUGUAGUGGUGAGUUGCCUGAGCCGCUUCGGGCACCAACCUGCUGGCUCUCGAGAUGAGGUAAGCACGUGCACGCUGAGAAAACACCUCGUAGUCUUCGUCGAAGGCACCAACGGUGGCCUUGAGAAAACGCCACGAACUGUCAUUUAAAGCAGCCAACCGCGUCACAGCGUCGGCACGCGAGGCGUCAACGGUGGCCUCAACGGCGAGGUGCUCCUCCAAGAUCUGGGGCUCGGCACGAAUGGCAGCCAUCACGACGUCAUCCGCGCGUGCGGCCGCGAUUUGCUUCUCCGCUGCCAAAUGCUCCUUGAGAUCCUGGCUAUACUGCGUGCACCAUGGCUUAGGCCGGUGCUUAUUUUGUGGAGGGGUCGGUGAUUUGGGUGGAAGGUGCCGCGCUCGUGCCGGCGAUCGGGGCAUGUGGGAUGUGGAAGAAGGAGGAGGAUGGGGGUCGGGUGUGGAUUACCUGCCUGGAUAGGCGAGGCCGAGCAGCGUGACGGAUGGUCGCCGACGAGGAGGCGGUGGUGCUGCAAGCAAGGAGUGAAGGUUUCAACUUGGAAAGGAAGGCGGAAAGGGGGGAAAAUGUGGCUUUUAGUAAGGAGGAGGGGGCGGGGAGGUAGAUAUUUCCACGGAUGCCAAAAAUUUGGAAUCACUUCAGCCAAAAAACUGGCGCGCAAAGUGUCAUCAGACACGCUCCCUUAUUCAGACACGGUCCAAAGAUAUUUUGUGCUGCAUCUCACACGGUUGGUUAUAAUAAAUAGUGUGGGAUCUACUUGAUUUUUUGUCUUGCUUUGAAUUACAUAAUGGGGUCACAGCGGCCAUGGAUGGUGUUUGAAUUGCUAGACCUUUUAUCUGUGGUGAUGAUAAAAGAAUUGGAAAUUUUUAGGGUUCAUUUGGGAAUUUUAUGCAUUAAGUGAGUGUUCAAUGCUAUGUGCAUAAUUCAAAUUUGAACUACAUGCACAUGCUCCAGUGCAUAUAAAUUGGUUGAAAAAUCAAAUCUUAGUCCUUGGGUGCAUGCUUAGGUCCCAUGCAAGAAAUGGGAAUGAAUGUCAAACACCCUGCCACCAUCACUCCGCCGCACAUUGAGAUACCUGGUUUUUUAAUUCUAGUAAAUCCAAAACUCGUCUGAAAUUCAUGAAACUUGGCAUGCUAUCAUGGAGCGGCAUCAACAUGGCGUGGUAAAGUUUUUGUCCCAUUUGGGGCAGGUUUGGGUAUAAGCUGUCACAAACUAGAGCUUCUAACAAAAAGCAUGAUGGUUUCGGUACGGAACGCCCCAACUUUGGGGACGAAACGAUAUCCAUUGUCUCUAAUUGUAUUCAAUUUUUUUCUCGUGUCAACAUAGAACAACAGGAGUGUUGUGUUAUUUUUUGUGAUUUUUCGGGCUUCGUUUGGACAUUUUUAUGCAUUAAGUAAGUUUUCAAUGCAUUUAUGUGCAUAAUUCAAAUUUGAACUACAUGCACAUGCUCCGGUGCAUAUAAAUUGGUUGAAAAAUCAAAUCUUUUGUCCUUGGGUGCAUGCUUAGGUCCCUUGAAAGAAAUGGAAAUGAAUGUUAAGCACCCUGCCACCGUCACUCGGCCGCAAACAUCGAGAUACCUGGUUUUUAAAUUCUAGUAAAUCCAAAACUCGUCUGAAAUUCAUGAAACUUGGCAUGCUAUCAUGGAGCAGCAUCAACAUGUCGUGGUAAAGUUUUUGUCCCAUUGGGGGUAGGUUUGGGUAUAUGCUUCUCACAAACCAGAGAUUCUCACAGCAAGCAUGAUGAUUUCGGUGGGGAACGCCCCAACUUUGGGGGCGAAACGAUAUCCAUUGCCUCUUAUUGCUUUUAAUUUUUUUCUCAUGUCAACAUAGAACAACAGGAGUGUUGUGCUAUUUUUUGUGAUUUUUCAGGGUUCGUUUGGACAUUUUUAUGCAUUAAGUGAGUUUUCAAUGCAUUUAUGUGCAUAAUUCAAAUUUGAAGUACAUGCACAUGCUCCGGUGCAUAUAAAUUGGUUGAAAAAUCAAAUCUUUUGUCCUUGGGUGCAUGCUUAGGUCCCAUGCAAGAAAUAGGAAUGAAUGUCAAACACCGUCCCACCGUCACUCUGCCGUAAACAUUGAGAUACCUGGUUUUAAAUUCUAGUAAAUCCAAAACUCGUCUGAAAUUCAUGAAACUUGGCAUGCUAUCAUGGAGCGGCAUCAACAUGGUGUGGUAAAGUUUUUGUCCCCUUUGGGGCAGGUUUGGGUAUAUGCUUCUCACAAACCAGAGCUUCUCACAGCAAGCAUGAUGAUUUCGGUAGGGAACGCCCCAACUUUGGGGGCGAAACGAUAUCCGUUGCCUCUUAUUGGUUUUAAUUUUUUUCUCGUGUCAAAAUAGAACAACAGGAGUGUUGUGCUAUUUUUUGUGAUUUUUCGGGGUUUUUUGGACAUUUUUAUGCAUUAAGUGAGUUUUCAAUGCAUUUAUGUGCAUAAUUCAAAUUUGAACUACAUGCACAUGCUCCGGUGCAUAUAAAUUUGUUGAACAAUCAAAUCUUUUGUCCUUGGGUGCAUGAUUAGGUCCCAUGCAAGAAAUGAGAAUGAAUGUCAAGCACUGUGCCACCGUCACUCUGCCGCAAACAUUGAGAUACCUGGUUUUUUAAAUUCUAGUAAAUCGAAAACUCGUCUGAAAUUCAUGAAACUUGGCAUGCUAUCAUGGAGAGGUAUCAACAUGGCAUGGUAAAGUUUUUGUCCCAUUUCGGGCAGGUUUGGGGAUAUGCUUCUCACAAACGAUAGCUUCUCACAACAAGCAUGAUGGUGUCGGUAGGGAACGCCCGAACUUUGGGGGCGAAACGAUAUCCAUUGCCUCUUAUUGCUUUCAAUUUUUUUCUCGUGUCAACAUAAAACAACCGGAGUGUUGUGUUAUUUUUUUGUGAUUUUUCGGGGUUCUUUUGGACAUUUUUAUGCAUUAAGUGAGUUUUCAAUGCAUUUAUGUGCAUAAUUCAAAUUUGAACCACAUGCACAUGCUCCAAUGCAUAUAAAUUGGUUGAAAAAUCAAAUCUUUGUCCUUGGGUGCAUGCUUAGGUCCCAUGCAAGAAAUGGGAAUGAAUGUCAAACACCCUGCCACCGUUACUCGGCCGCAAACAUUGAGAUACCUGGUUUUUAAAUUCUAGUAAAUCCAAAACUCGUAUGAAAUUCAUGAAACUUGGCAUGCUAUCAUGGAGGGGGCCUCAACAUGUCGUGGUAAAGUUUUUGUCCCAUUUGGGGCAGGUUUGGGUAUAUACUUCUCACAAACCAGAGCUUCUCACAACAAGCAUGAUGGUUUCAGAUAGAACACCCGUAUGCAAAGUGAGAGCAGGAUUUGUGCAUCUCUUGAACACAAAUGGUUCUUUUGGAUGACCCCUGUGAAUCACUAGCAGGGCAGCGCAGUACUAUUCGAUUUGACAGCGGGCGGCACAGUUCCUGAUACGGCUUUAAUGCAGACAAGGGAGAGGGUAGCGGUUCCCAAAAUGUUGAACGGCCAAUGAUGCAUCCUCCUUCAAUUAGCAUCGUGUGAAUGCAUGAGGGAAGUAAUGGGAGGACCGGGAAAAGAGGUAGCACAAUGUGAAUGCAAUGCAGUUUGCACUCAUAUAAUGGCGCCCCUCCAUUCCAAUGCAUCUACCACAUCGUACGCACCUAAGCAUUUGCCUAAGCACCUACACUAAUAAGCGCAAAAGUGCCCACUCCAGACCCAUGGCGGUGAUGCGCGCGAGCAGCCAGCGGCUGUGCCAGAUGGUCCACGAUGCUGGCCUGCGGCAUGGCACCGUGGAUCGUCUCCAUACGGUGUUGGCGACCGGCUGGUGGAUGGCCGCCGUCGACGCCAGAUACGACUCUCACUUGGACUAGAUGAUCGUUCGCACCACCAACAGGUUCACCAUUGUCAAGAAGCUCGUGGAUGACAUUGCCGUACUCCUCCAGCCCGCGCGCCCGGGCUCCUCAUUGCCUGCCACCCAAAUCGGUCUCCAUGGUCGGAACCUCUUUGAAGCAUUGGUGGCCCUGCGACUGCCCGCCGACACCACGAAGAAUGUCCACCUGGAGGUCGCGCUCACCGCGAGGCGCCUCGCCCUGCAUGAAACCGUCAACCUACACAUCCAUGUGUACGAACGAAUCGUGUACAUAGGUAUCUACAAGGCCAGUGAGGACGCUACGACGUUGGCCUUCUUCAGCUGGCUGGAAGCCUUGCAUGCCUUAGUUGAGAAGCACCUUGACCUCGCCACACAAGCCGCCGGUCAGUGGCCCAGCCGGUGCAUUGAGUUGAGGAGGAGGAGGUCGUACGUUGAUGGAUGCAUCUUUCUGCUUGCCUCCUGUAACCACCACUGCGAUCACAUCAUCGUGGCCUUAAUUCUUAUUUUGCUAUUGCAUUCUCGUUCCAGUCAAUACAGACAUGUGCGAUCCCUUUGCUCAAUAUAGACAUGUCCGUUCCAGUCUUAUUUUGAUUGGCUUGAAUGAAGGUCUAUCACGCCGUUAGGCGCCGCAGCGCACUGUGCUCGCCGUUAGGCGCCGCGGCAUGCUCUGCUCGCGUCCGUCGGCGCGCUCGGCUUGUGGACAUCUCUUCCUUGCAUGUUCAACUGCUAUAUGCAUAUAUAUAUGGUUGCUCGCUGUUGAGGCGACCGCGGAGCGCUCUGCUCGUGUCCCUCCGUGCGUGCGCACGAUCACGUCGGGGGCCCCGUAUGCAUGCAGUUGCGCCGUGCGCGUUGCCACACGAUGCAGUUAUGUGCGGCAUGCUGAAGUUACACGCUGCAAAUUAGAACUGCCAUCAGGGCCUACCGAUAUUCCUGGCUGUCCGGCUUCCCCUUUAAUUCCCGCGGCCAUUAUAACCUUAGUCUCUUCAACCUUUCGAUCGCGCCCCACAACACAACAAGCACACCCACGACGACACAUAGAGAGGGGAUGUCCGGCGCUCCAAUGGAGUUCGGCAAGCAUAGAGUGGAGACCCACGCGAGGGAGACGGAUCUCUCGGUGGUGUACACCAUCGACCUGGCCAUGGUGGACGACUACAUCAACAGCGUUGAGUGAUACGUCUCCAAUGUAUCUAUAAUUUUUAUUGUUCCAUGCUAUAUUAUAUUCUGUUUUGGACAUUAAUGGGCUUUAUUAUACACAUUUAUAUUAUUUUUGGGACUAACCUAUUAACCGGAGGCCCGGCCCGGAAUUGUUGUUUUUUGCCUAUUUCAGAGUUUCGCAGAAAAAGAAUAUCAAACGGAGUCCAAACGGAAUGAAACCUUCGGCAACGUGAUUUUCGGAACGAACGUGAUCCAGAGGACUUAGACCCUACGUCAAGACAUCAACCAGGAGGGCAAGAGGUAGGGGCGCGCCUACCCCCCUGGGCGCGCCCUCCACCCUCGUGGGCCCCAUGUUGCUCCACCGACGUACUUCUUCCUCCUAUAUAUACCUACGUACCCCCCAAACUACCAGAUACGGAGCCAAAAACCUAAUUCCACCACCGCAACCUUCUGUACUCGUGAGAUCCCAUCUUGGGGCCUUUUCCGGAGCUCCGCCGGAGGGGGCAUCGAUCACGGAGGGCUUCUACAUCAACACAUAGCCUCUUCGAUGAUGUGUGAGUAGUUUACCUCAGACCUUCGGGUCCAUAGUUAUUAGCUAGAUGGCUUCUUCUCUCUUUUUGGAUCUCAAUACAAUGUUCUCCCCCUCUCUUGUGGAGAUCUAUUCGAUGUAAUCUUGUUUUGUGGUGUGUUUGUUGAGACUGAUGAAUUGUGGGUUUAUGAUCAAGUUUAUCUAUGAACAAUAUUUGAAUCUUCUCUGAAUUCUUUUAUGUAUGAUUGGUUAUCUUUGCAAGUCUCUUCGAAUUAUCAGUUUGGUUUGGCCUACUAGAUUGAUCUUUCUUGCAAUGGGAGAAGUGCUUAGCUUUGGGUUCAAUCUUGCGGUGUCCUUUCCCAGUGACAGUAGAGGCAGCAAGGCACGUAUUGUAUUGUUUCCAUCGAGGAUAACAAGAUGGGGUUUAUAUCAUAUUGCAUGAGUUUAUCCCUCUACAUCAUGUCAUCUUACUUAAAGCGUUACUCUGUUCUUAUGAACUUAAUACUCUAGAUGCAUGCUGAAUAGCGGUCGAUGUGUGGAGUAAUAGUAGUAGAUGCAGGCAGGAGUCGGUCUACUUGUCUCGGACGUGAUGCCUAUAUACAUGAUCAUACCUAGAUAUUCUCAUAACUAUGCUCAAUUCUAUCAAUUGCUCGACAGUAAUUUGUUCACCCACCAUAAUACUUAUGCUAAUGAGAGAAGCCACUAGUGAAACCUAUGGCCCCCGGGUCUAUUUUCCAUCAUAUUAAUCUCCCGUCAACAAGCUAUUGCUAGCGCCGUCUUUAUUUUGCUUUCUUUAUUUUGCAUCUUUAUCAUAAAAAUACCAAAAAUAUUAUCUUAUCAUAUCUAUCAGAUCUCACUCUCGUAAGUGACCGUGAAGGGAUUGACAACCCCUUUAUUGCGUUGGUUGCAAGGAUUUAUUUGUUUGUGUAGGUGCGAGGGACUCGUGCGUGGCCUCCUACUGGAUUGAUACCUUGGUUCUCUAAAACUGAGGGAAAUACUUACGCUACUUUGCUGCAUCACCCUUUCCUCUUCAAGGGAAAACCAACGCAGUGCUCAAGAGGUAGCAAGAAGGAUUUCUGGCGCCGUUGCCGGGGAGUCUACAGAAAAGUCAACAUACCAAGUACCUAUCACAAACCCUUAUCUCCCGCAUUACAUUAUUUGCCAUUUGCCUCUCGUUUUCCUCUCCCCCACUUCACCCUUGUCGUUUUAUUCGCCAUCUCUUUUUCAUUUGCCUCUUUUUCAUUUGCUUGUCGUUAUGGCUAGUCCCCUAUCUUCUCCGUUGUCUCCCGAGAAUGAAGUUCUUAAUUUUAAGCAAAGGGAGCGAGAAAAUCUAAAAGACGCUUGGUAUAGAAUUUGCAAUGCUCAAAAUAGAUCUACCAGGAAGCAAUCUACUUCCGUUCUUCUUCGCAAUUUUUAUGUAGGCGCUACUCCUUGGUACAGAUAUAUCCUUGAUACCAUUACCGGAGGGAAUUUCUUGGGUAGCCAUACUUUUGAUUCUUAUAAUGCUAUGAUAGAUUUGUUUGGCUCACCACCUCUUUUGGUUAAUGGAACUAUGUUAACUUUGGAGCAUGUAAUGCAAAGACUUGAAAUUAUUGAAAAUAAAGUUGCUACCGUAGAGUUAAUUGAAAAUUUGGAUAAAAAGAUCCACAACAAAAUUACCCAAUAUGGAUCUAAAGUAGGAGUCACUUUGAAAAAUAUUAAGGAGAAGGAACCCAUAGUUAAUGAAAAAUCAGGAUUCCACUAGAAUCGAUAAACUUGAGGGUAUCAUUACCAACUUGGGAACCGCUUUUUCUUCCAUAAAGAAUACUCCAAGUCCUCCAACUAAAAUUUCCAAGCUUAUGUAUGUUCCUAAAAAUAAGGGUGAAUCCUCUAGUAAGGAAACUGCGGAUCUCAAAUCUAUAAGUAUUCAUCAAAAUGUUUUUGCUAUCAUUAAGGAACCAUUUGAUACAAAUGAAUUUUUCGGUUAUGUGCCUAGAAGUUUGAUAAUUAAUAAAAAUAAAGAAACUCCUAAGGAUGAUAGAUGUCUCAUUGAAGAAUUGCCCACCAAAGAUGGCAAUACCUAGAUCUAUCCUUGCUAUUAUGCCUAGCUAGGGGCGUUAAACGAUAGCGCUUGUUGGGAGGCAACCCAAUUUUAUUUUUAGUUUUUUUUUUUGCUUUUUGCUUCUGUUUAGGAAUAAGUAUUUGAUCUAGCCUCUGGUUAUAUGUGUUUUUAUGCUUUAAUUGGUGUUUGUGCCAGGUUUAACCUAUAGGAUCUUCUUGGAUGAUCGUUAUUUGAUCUUGCUGAAAAUUCCAGAAACUUUCUGUUCACGAAAAUAAUUGUUAAAAAUCACCAGAACCUGAUAAAAUGUUGAUUCCAAUUGCUGCUGAUCAAUAAACAAAUUUUCUAGGUCGUCCUAUUUUGGCUGAAUUUUUGGAGUUCCAGAAGUUUGCGUUAGUUACAGAUUACUACAGACUGUUCUGUUUUUGACAGAUUCUGUUUUUCGUGUGUUGUUUGCUUAUUUUGAUGAAUCUAUGGCUAGUAAAAAAGUUUAUAAACCAUAGAGAAGUUGGAAUACAGUAGGUUUAACACCAAUAUAAAUAAAUAAUAAGUCCACUACAGUACCUUGAAGUGGUGUUUUGUUUUCUUUCGCUAAAGGAGCUCACGAGAUUUUCUGUUAAGUUUUGUGUUGUGAAGUUUUCAAGUUUUGGGUAAAAGAUUUGAUGGAUUAUGGAACAAGGAGUGGCAAGAGCCUAAGCUUGGGGAUGCCCAUGGCACCCCAAGAUAAUCUAACGACACCAAAAAGCCAAAGCUUGGGGAUGCCCCGGAAGGCAUCCCCUCUUUUGUCUACUUCCAUCGGUAACUUUACUUGGGGCUAUAUUUUUAUUCACCACAUGAUAUGUGUUUUGCUCGGAGCGUCCUGUAUGGUUUGAGUCUUUGCUUUUUAGUUUACCACAAUCAUCUUUUCUGUACACACCUUUUGAGAGAGACACACAUAAUUCGGAAUUCAUUAGAAUACUCUAGCGCUUCACUUAUAUCUUUUGAGUUAUAUAGUUUUUGCUCUAGUGCUUCACUUAUAUCUUUUAGAGCACGGCGGUAGAUUUGUUUUAUAGAAACUAUUAUUCUCUCAUGCUUCACUUAUAUUAUUUUGAGAGUCUUAAACAGCAUGGUAAUUUUCUUAAAUUGGGAAAUUAAUCCUAAUAUGUUAGGUAUUCAAGACUAGUAAAAAACUUUCUUAUGAGUGUGCUGAAUGCUAAGAGAAGUUUGAUGCUUGAUGAUUGUUUUGAGAUAUGGAGGUAGUGAUAUUAAAGUUGUGCUAGUUGAGUAGUUGUGAAUUUGAGAGAUACUUGUGUUGAAGUUUGCAAGUCCCGUAGCAUGCACGUAUGGUAAACGUUAUGUAACAAAUUUGAAACAUGAGGUGUUCUUUGAUUGUCCUCCUUAUGAGUGGCGGUCGGGGACGAGCGAUGGUCUUUUCCUACCAAUCUAUCCCCCUAGGAGCAUGCGCGUAGUGCUUGGUUUUUGAUGACUUGUAGAUUUUUGCAAUAAGUAUGUGAGUUCUUUAUGACUAAUGUUGAGUCCAUGGAUUAUACGCACUCUUACCCUUCCAUCAUUGCUAGCCUCUUCGGUACCGUGCAUUGCCCUUUCUCACAUUGAGAGUUGGUGCAAACUUCGCCGGUGCAUCCAAACCCUGUGAUAUGAUACACUCUUUCACACAUAAACCUCCUUAUAUCCUCCUCAAAACAGCCACCAUACCUACCUAUUAUGGCAUUUCCAUAGCCAUUCCGAGAUAUAUUUCCAUGCAACUUUCCACCGUUCCGUUUAUCAUGAGACGUUCAUCAUUGUCAUAUUACUUUGCAUGAACAUGUAGUUGACAUCGGAUUUGUGGCAAAGCCACCAUUCAUAAUUUUUUCAUACAUGUCACUCUUGAUUCAUUGCUAUCCCGGUAUACCGCCGGAGGCAUUCAUAUAGAGCCAUACUUUGUUCUAGUAUAGAGUUGUAAUCAUUGAGUUGUAAAUAAAUAGAAGUGUGAUGAUCAUCAUUCAUAGAGCAUUGUCCCAAUAAAAAAAGAGAAAGGCCAAAAAAAGAGAAGGCCCAAAAAAAGGGACAAUGCUACUAUCCUUUUUUCCACACUUGUGCUUCAAAGUAGCACCAUGAUCUUCAUGUUAGUCUCUUGUUUUGUCACUUUCAUAUACUAGUGGGAAUUUUUCAUUAUAGAACUUCGCUUGUAUAUUCCAACAAUGGGCUACCUCAGAUGCCCUAGGUCUUCGUGAGCAAGCAAGUUGGAUGCACACCCACUUAGUUUCUUUUGUUGAGCUUUCAUGCAUUUAUAGCUCUAGUGCAUACGUUGCAUGGCAAUCCCUACUCCUUGCAUUAACAUCAAUCGAUGCGCAUCUCCAUAGCUCAUUGAUUAGCCGCGUUGAUGUGAGACUUUCUCCUUUUUUGUCUUCUCCACAUAACCCCCAUCAUUAUAUUCUAUUCCACCCAUAGUGCUAUAUCCAUGGCUCACGCUCAUAUAUUGCGUGAAGGUUGAAAAAGUUUGAGAUUACUAAAGUAUGAAACAAUUGCUUGGCUUGUCAUCGGGGUUGUGCAUGAUGAGAGCAUUCUUGUGUGAUGAAAAUGGAGCAUGAUUAAACUAUAUGAUUUUGUAGGAAUGAACUUUCUUUGGCCAUGUUAUUUUGAGAGGACAUAAUUGCUUAGUUAGUAUGCUUGAAGUAUUAUUACUUUUAUGUCAAUAUUAAACUUUUAUCUUGAAUCUUUCAGAUCUGAAUAUUCAUACCACAAUUAAGAGAAUUACAUUGAAAUUAUGCUAAGUAGCAUUCCACAUCAAAAAUUCUGUUUUUAUCAUUUACCUACUCGAGGACGAGCAGGAAUUAAGCUUGGGGAUGCUUGAUACGUCUCCAACGUAUCUAUAAUUCUUGAUUGUUCCAUGCUAUAUUAUAUUUUGUUUUGGACAUUAAUGGGCUUUAUUAUACACUUCUAUAUUAUUUUUGGGACUAACCUAUUAACCGGAGGCCCAGCCCAGAAUUGUUGUUUUUUUGCCUAUUUCAGAGUUUCGCAGAAAAAGAAUAUCAAACGAAGUCCAAACGGAAUGAAACCUUCGAGAACGUGAUUUUUGGAACGAACGUGAUCCAGAGGACUUGGACCCUACGUCAAGACAUCAACCAGGAGGGCACGAGUUAGGGGGCGCGCCUACCCCCCUGGGCGCGCCCUCCACCCUCGUGGGCCCCACGUUGCUCCACCGACGUACUUCUUCCUCCUAUAUAUACCUACGUACCCCCAAACUACUAGAUACGGAGCCAAAAAACCUAAUUCCACCGCCGCAACCUUCUAUACCCGUGAGAUCCCAUCUUGGGGCCUUUUCCGGAGCUCCGCCGGAGGGGGCAUCGAUCACGGAGGGCUUCUACAUCAACACCAUAGCCUCUCCGAUGAUGUGUGAGUAGUUUACCUCAGACCUUGGGGUCCAUAGUUAUUAGCUAGAUGGCUUCUUCUCUCUUUUUGGAUCUCAAUACAAUGUUCUCCCCCUCUCUUGUGGAGAUCUAUUCGAUGUAAUCUUGUUUUGCGGUGUGUUUGUUGAGACCGAUGAAUUGUGGGUUUAUGAUCAAGUUUAUCUAUGAACAAUAUUUGAAUCUUCUCUGAAUUCUUUUAUGUAUGAUUGGUUAUCUUUGCAAGUCUCUUCGAAUUAUCAGUUUGGUUUGGCCUACUAGAUUGAUCUUUCUUGCAAUGGGAGAAGUGCUUAGCUUUGGGUUCAAUCUUGCGGUGUCCUAUCCCAGUGACACUAGGGGCAGCAAGGCACGUAUUGUAUUGUUGCCAUCGAGGAUAACAACACGGGGUUUAUAUCAUAUUGCAUGAGUUUAUCCCUCUACCUCAUGUCAUC